AUUAACAUCACUUACCCUUUUCGAUUAAAAAGCCAGCCUCAUAGGUGUGGUUACAAUGAGCUUGAACUAGUGUGUGAGAAUAACCGCACCAUUUUCCCCAUGAAAUAUGGUUAUGGGAAUUUCUAUGUCCAACACAUCUCUUAUAGUAACAAAACCAUUCAAAUGUUAGACGUGAGUCUUGACGAGGAUAACUGCUCCAUUCCUCAUAGUUCCUACCCUUUCUACGUGGAUGCACUAAAUAUAUAUUCCUAUCAAACUACCACUGAACCUAGCAUCAUGUAUCUCGUAAAUUGCCCGAUCCAGAUCAACAACUCUUGGGUUUAUAUUGAUGCUUUUCGUUGUACCAAUACCCCUUCCUCUCGACCUCCUUACUUUUACUUUUUGGAUGAAAAUACUGCAAUGUCUAAUUUCCAUGAGUCAUGCACAGUUGAAGCGCAGGUUCCAAUCAUGGUUGCCAAUAUCACUGGCCUCUCUACUUUUGAUAUUUACACAAAGCUGUUGGAGGGAUUCCAACUCUCAUGGUCUUCGUAUGAUGAUAUGUCAAGGUGAGACUCAGUUUUUAACGCGUGAGGAUUUUUAAGUAUUCCAAACUAUUUGGUGCAUUUUAGUUUUUGAAAAGUAUUUAUUAUUUUUAGUUUUUAAUUUUUAAAUUACCUUUUUAACUAUGUAUAUAAAUUUUUAUAAUUAGAAUCACAAAUUUUUAUUACUGUAGUAUCUUCUUCAGACUUUGAUUAUUUACUUUUACUCUAAAUUUGUUUAAUGUAAAAUUUAAACAGAAGCAUUUAAAAUAUUUUAAACAGUGAAAGUGCGCAUUUCAUGGCCUUAUUAAGGAUAACGGUUUUGAUGUGCUUUCUUGAAUAUUAAUUAUAGAUUGCUCUGGCUGUUGCUGCAUCCGCUGCAAAUAUAUAUUCAAAGCAUCAUGGCUUUGUUUCAACCAGAUUAUUUCUAUGCACCUUAUAAAGGUAUUCGUUCUUUUUUGAGUUCAUUAAUAAUUUGAUUCUUAUUGGAUUGGCCUUUACUUUCCUGUAUAGUUGACUUGACUCUUUACGUGCAUCAUAAGUAAACUGUUAAAUUUAAUAGUUGGUUUAUUAAAAUAUUAAUAGUAUACGAAGUUAUAAAAAAUUUAUAAAAAUUAAUUAAUUAAUUUUAUAGUGGUGUUGUGUGAGUAUCGCAUAUAUGUAUACGUAUGUAUCCAAGUGACUACAUAAAAGAAGAUCCAUCAUAAAUGAUUCAUAAAUAAUUUUGAACUACAUUAAUUGGGUAUUUUUUAACUAGGUAUUUUUAUGAUGUUGUGAUUUUUUUGGUCAAAAUAAAAAUUAUGUGGAAUAAGGUCUAAAUUUACCAUUCUAUAUAUUUCGGAUAAUGGAUCAAACUUGUCAGCAUCUUUGAACGGGUGUAAUUUUGCCAUUAUACUUUUAAAUUAGUUAAAAAUGUAAUCAAAAGUUAAGACUAAUGUUAAUUUUUGACCAUUUUUGAAGUAAAUUAAAAUGUAUAAUGGUAAAAAUUGCACUUGUUUAAAAAUAAAAUAAUAAAUUUGAUCCAUCACCUUAAAUAAACUAGUGUGUGUAAAUUUAAAUUUUAUCCCAAAUUAUGUUAUGAAUUUUGUUGGGGAAAAUAUGGCAGCACAUACCCAACUUAAAUUGGUAAAUGACAUAUGCAUAGCAUAUAAUCAUGUUGUCCAACUAAUUAAUAUAUAUAUUGUUAUGUAAUUUUUUUUUUGUGAAACAGGAAUUAUAUUGCUAAGAACACUUUUGGGGAUAAUUUGCUUGAUUAUAUUGGUUAUACGCAAAUUAAAAAGGAGGCAUUUGUCGAUGGAUGACAUGAUUGAGAAUUUUCUUCAGAGUCAAAACAAUUUAAUGCCUAUAAGAUAUUCUUAUUCUGAAAUAAAAAGAAUGACGGAAGGUUUCAAGAAUAAACUAGGACAAGGAGGAUAUGGCUCUGUGUUUAAAGGAAAACUUCGAAGUGGUCAAUUUGUUGCGGUAAAAUUGUUAAACAAAUCAAAAGCUAAUGGUCAAGAUUUCAUCAAUGAAGUUGCAACUAUUGGAAGAAUUCAUCAUGUUAAUGUAGUAAGACUCAUUGGAUUUUGUGUGAAGGGAUCGAAACAAGCUCUUGUAUAUGACUUCAUGCAAAAUGGAUCCUUAGAUAAAAUAAUAUUUUCAACUGAAAGUAACACUUUGAGUUGGCAAAAAAUGUUUGAGAUUACAUUGGGAGUGGCUCGAGGUAUUGAAUAUUUACAUAGAGGUUGUGAAAUGCAAAUUUUACAUUUUGAUAUUAAGCCACAUAACAUUCUUCUAGAUGAGAACUUCAUCCCGAAAGUUUCAGAUUUUGGCCUUGCAAAAUUGUAUUCGGUGGAUGAUAGUAUUGUCUCUCUCACGGCUGCAAGAGGUACAUUAGGAUAUAUGGCUCCUGAAUUGUUUUAUAAAAAUAUUGGAAGCAUCUCAUAUAAAGCUGAUGUUUAUAGUUUUGGAAUGAUGUUAAUGGAAAUUGUCGGAAGGAGAAAAAAUGUGAAUGUCUCUGCUGAACAUUCGAGUCAAAUUUAUUUUCCAUCAUGGAUUUAUGAUCGACUUGAAGAAGGAGAUAACAUAGAGCUUAGAGAUGUAACGGAGAAUGAAAACAAAAUUAUGAGGAAAAUGUUAAUAGUAGCCUUUUGGUGCAUACAGAUGAAGCCCACAGAUCGUCCUUCAAUGAGCAAAGUCUUGAAGAUGCUUGAAAGUGAAGUUGAGCUCCUUGAAAUGCCUCCCAAGCCUGCUUUCUCUUGAAAUGUCAACCAAAUCAUUUGGUGUUGUAUUAUAAGUAAUAUUUAAUAUUGUAUGUUAAGCAAUGUUUCACUACUUUAUUAUAUUACUUUUAUAAUUUUUAUAGUAGAAACCUUAAGCUUGAGGCAUAAUCUUCUCUCUUCCAAAAAAAAACAAAAGAAACAAAAACAAUAUAGAGUGGUGAUGAAGAUAGUAUAGCAAGGAAAAGAAGGAUACUGAGUUGGAGUUUUGAGCCUGCGAAGGUAUUAUUUUAGGAGAUUUGUAAUGGUAUCUUGUUAGUAUUUUGUUUAUAUAAAAAGUCUUUUGUUCAUACAAAGGGCAAAGACUUUAAAUAGCAUUGUCUAUACAAUCAUUAUGUUAAUGCAAAUAGUUAACCAAGUUUUUAAAAAAAUUAAAGAUUUUUCUAAACCAUGUUUGGAAUUAUAAAUUUUUUAUUUAAAAAAUGUAAAUUAUUUGAGUUUUCUCUCUUAAUUAAAAAAGUCAAAUGUUAUCGAAUUCAAAUAUUUAUUUAAAACGAUUCAAAAUCAAAUUCAAUUUAAUUCAAAUUAAAUGACAAAAAUUAAAAAUUUGAAUCCAAAAAUAUGUGAAUUUAAAAUGAUAUUAAUACAAUCUACCUUCAACAUAACUCGAAUCUAAAACGAACCGAGCUCAUAAUGAUCCAAAACCCAAGAUUUAUUUGAUCCAAAACUUAUAAAAACUUAUAUUUAUAACUCCAAAAAAUCCAAAUUAUAAUUAAAUAAAUUUAUUUAAUAGCUAAAUGAGUAAAUGAUUAUUUUUUAAGUGAAAAUUUUAAGACACACAAGCACCUUUUUCUCGUCAAUGCUUUUUCUUUGCACAGAAAAAGCGCAUAGGAAUGGCAUGGUCAACUACUCUGCUUCACCUUCACUUCAAAUUCCCUCCGGUUUCUUCUCAUCAAUUGCCACAUUCCCUCCCCAAAAAAUCCCCAAUCUUCCUAAACCCUAUCCCUAUAAUUCCCAAUUCCAAACACCCCAAAAUGCAAUUCCUUCACAGACCCAACGCGUUUCCAGGCCAAGGCGCAGUAUCAAAAGCCAUGGACAUCAUCCAAUCCUCUCUGCCCACGUGGCAAUCGGCCUUCCUCAGCAACCUCGUGAUCUUCGUUGUCGGAACCCCACUUUUAAUAGCGGGACUAUCUCUCUCCGGAAUUUGCGCUGCCUUCUUGCUUGGCACUCUCACUUGGCGCGCUUUUGGGUCUUCUGGGUUCCUCCUCGUUGCUUCUUACUUCGUUAUAGUGAGUCAUUACAAAGUCUAUGGAUUUUAUUUGAAUUAUAGGAUUUAAGUUAAAUUUAGAAAUGGGGUUCUGAUUUUUGUUCCCAUUUGGUAUAAAGUUUACGCUUUGGAGGACAAGUUUCAUUGUUUGGUAAAUAUGGCAAAGGAAAAGAAAUUUAGUUUAUGUCAAAAAGAUUUCAUGUGACGUAGUUUGUUAUUUAAGUGUGAUUUGUUUUUGUUUAAAGAAUUGGAUUACACUAGGUGAAAUCAGGUCAAAACCAUAACCAAAAUAUUUUUUCCAAAAUUUCUUUAUUUUCAUUUGUUUUCCUCUUGGUGGGGGGCAGGUGGAGGAGCCAGGGAGAAUUUAUGGGUUCUCGCAGUUUUAGACUAGUUUGAAACGAUAUAGUAUUGUUUUUCCUGCUUUCCUUUCUGAUAAUGGCUUGUUUUACUUGCAAAAUGAAUCUUGAAUUAGUUCCUCCUUCCCUCUUCUGAUUUUCCCUACCCAUAUUUCUAGUUGAAGAUAAUAGUUUCAAAUCAUGCUUGAAAACUAUAUUACAAAAUACUUGUAAUAUCAAACAAUUUUGUGUGGCAUUCGAGUUUCUAAUUUGAAUGGAGAAAUAAUUGGGAUGGAAGUGGUAUUAAAUUUAGAGGAAAGAAACAAGAAUGCCUUUUGCAACAUUACAAAGAAAAGAAAAGAAAACCUAGUAUAAAACUUCGGAAGAUGCUUGAUUAUAAGGUGCUGGGCUUUUGAGGACCUGAGACUUCAUAAUACUUUAUAAUUCUCUAGAUCUUCAGGCAAUCUUACAGCUCUUUGUCAUGCCUCUAAAACAAAUGCGGUAAAACCAUGCUCAAUUGUUCAAAUUGUUAUGCUCAAUUGAGAACUCCUGACCUGUUAUGUGUGUGUGGAGAUGAUAACACCAAUGAAUGGCCUUGUUAUACGGAUGACCGCUCAUGAUAAUUGCUACUUCAAAAAUUAUUGGCUUAGAUUUUGCUGCUGUGUUUUGAAACUUGUUGGCAUGCCUCACGAAUGCUGCGAAAUGUGCAGAAGGUUUCUGAGAUCUUGCUGCCAUCUAAGAAGAAAGAAUAGGUGAAAUUGUACAGGUACUAUGAAUAUGAUGUAAUGUUUAGCUUUUUUAUAGGGACUUCCUUUUUGUAUAGUGAACUUGGUUGCAUUGGAAUGAGUCUGUUCUCUGGGAAGAAUCACUGUUCUGAAAUUUGUUAAGUCUGAUCACAAUUGCAACCAGGAGCGGCAUGCCUUGCUUUUCUUCUCAUAGGGCAUGAGGGUAUCCCAUCAGGGUUCUUUUUGUGAACCCCUCUUAUGAAAUAACAUCUUCUAUGCCUUUCCAAAAAAAAAAAAGUAACAAUCACAUGGCAUAAUUUUUUCUUACAAUAUGAGAGUACUACAUCAGAGUUUCUUAAUGCACUAAGAAAAGUUAGAGAUAAGGUCUAAGAAAAUAUCAAUUUCAAGAAGAAACAAAUAACACUAGAAUCAUAUUUUACAAAAAUAUCAUAAUUGAGUCAUGUAUAUAAAUAAUUUUGAUGUAUGAGGAAAUUAUUAAUUUAUAUAUCAAGUGAGAUCUAUGUGUUUUUUUUCAAAAUGUAUUAUCUUAUUAAUUUAACAAAUUAUUAAUUUAUCAUGUUGAUCUCAAAUCAGGACCAACCAAAAUUAAUAUUUAUUCAAAAUUAUUAAUUUAUCAAGUAUUAUUUAUAGAAGAUUUGUUGUACUUCUUUGUAAUUCACUCUAAAUAAAAGGGUAUGUUGAAACAAGCGGAAUUUAGAUCCCUUAUGGUUCUUGCUACAUUUAAGUACUAUUAAUGUCAUUUAUGCUGGUUAUAAAGAUCUGACAUUUUAUUUAGAAACAAAAUUUGUAGAGUGUCAAGCUUUAAUAGCUUUUUUUUUUUGUUGCUUUUUAAUGUUUAUAUUCGUUGCUAUAUACUAUUUUUUUCCCUAUCAAACCAUUCUUUCAUGCUUACAAAUUUAAAUUUGUGGUGUGCAAAAAUUGUUGGUGUAUUUUCAAAAAUCAAAGGUUAUGUCACAUAAUCAAAAGCUAUCUUAGCUCAAAGGUUUGUCACAUAAAGUGACAUAGUGUGACUAUUGGAUUGUAGACAGGUUAUNUUGGUGUAUUUUCAAAAUCAAAUGUUAUGUCACAUAAUAAAAAGCUAUUUUAGCUCAAAGGUUGUCACAUAAAGUGACAUAGUGUGACUAUUGGAUUGUAGACAGGUUAUUGUUUCAUUAGAUAUGAAAAGUUAUUGUUUCAAAUUAUAACUCAAAGAUUAUGAUUUAUGGAAUGAAUAGUUGUCCUUUCAUUAGAUGAUUAUUGAAACAAUACAUUUAUCUUAAAGUUGUGUCUAGCAAAAUGUAAAGAUGUCUUUUAGACAAAAUGGUGUCUUAAUAAAAGGGUUGUGUCCUUGAAGAAGAGACACUUGCAAGCCUAUGUAAAGGGCUUGUUGCCAACCAUUUUUACACAUCAAAUCAAAAACAAAACAAGAACAGAAAAUCAAGAGUAAGAAAGUGUUGUGUUCUAUUAACAUAAACACUUAAGUUCCCAUCAACUACAAAAGCAUCAAAAUUUCUUAUAAUCUACUUGUUGUAGAAAGUAAGCUCUAAAGCCAAACAACUUUGCAAACCCUUAGAUAUAUCUAGUGGUCUACUCUCGUAAAGUGCAAGACAAAGUUAAACGUUAGCUUCAUUGUAUCCUUAAAACUAUUCGCAUUAUUUCUCUUUGCAUACUGAGUGGUGGGGAUGAAAUAAGUUUUAAAAAUAAUGUCUAUUGAAAAGCUCGCCUUAAAAUCAAUUUUGUUGGUUCUUAAAUUUCAUCUAAACCUCAUUUGCACCAACAAAAAUGAACAGGUACCUACUUUACUUUAUUAUUCUACUUUUAUUAUAUAAUUUUUAUAGUCUCCUUUUUCAUCUUAUAUACGGAAUCAGAUCCAUAUAGAAACCUUAAGCUUGAGGCAUAAGCUUCUCUCUUAUGAAAAUAAAAUAAAAUAAAAUAAAAUAAAAAUCAAGAGCAGUAUAUAUACCAUUGUGAAUGAAUAAAGUAUAAAAUCAUAGUGCCUUUUGAGAUACAAAACAUUGUGAAUGCGACAAGAAGUAUUAGUUGUAAUGUGUUAAUGGUCAUUUUUAAAUCAAAUUAAAAAUGUUACUAUUAGCAAUAUCAAGAAUUGCCAAGGAGAAAUUCAUUGAUAAAAUGACAAAUACCCGAAUUCUCUUCAUUGGCAACUUUACUAAAAAUCACUUUCAACGAAAAAAAAUUAGUAAAAGAUCUUCCAUAUUAUCUCUAUAUAUAGUAUAAUAUCAAAAUUUAGUAUUCUAAAAAUUUUAUUUUAUGCUGUUUUAGUACUAACAUAUUUUAAACAAUAUCAUUGUUUAUAUUAUUAUUACACGGACACUACUUACAUAUAAUAUAUAUAUAUAUAUAUAAAAGAUAAUAGCAUUGUUAGCUUUAUUAGAAUGAAUAAUUGAUUUUUUUUAAAAAUAGAAUGAAUAAUCUAACGAGAUGAAUUGGAUUUUAAAAACUUUUUUUGACAAAAUAAAAUCUAAAAAAAAAACACAUCAAAUAAUAAAAUCAAAACCAUUAAAUAAAUAUUUAACUGAAAAUAAAUGUAAUAAAAAUAAAUAGUAUAGGGUAAAAAUAUUUGCAAGAACCAUUUAUAAAGGUUCAAUCUUGUCUCUUGGUAUUUAUGUCACAAGUCUACUUUCUAAUCCAAAAGACAUGCAUAUUAAGUAAAGAUAGACAUUUAUUUAUAAAUCCAAGACUCAACUCAUCUCUUAUUAAUGUAAGAUCUAUCACAUUCUACCUCACCUAAUUGUUCAAUACGUUCGUUGCAUCGGCUCCUUUACUCAUAGAGGAGAGGGACCGUAUCUUGAUCUAAGUCUACCUCGAACCUGAUAUCUUUUAUAAAAGUUUCAUACUAGUUAAGAGUUAAGUUUGCUCUAAUACCACUAAUCACGAGUUCACAUUUCUAAUCCAAAAAAUAUACAUAUUAGAUAGAGAGAGGCCCUUAUUUGUAAAUCAAGACCCACCCAUAUGACACUUACAUUCUCUCUCUUAGUGUAGUAAAGAGUUCAAUACACUACUUAAUUCAACCAAUACAAAUACUAUUUUCUUGCGUAUCCAAAACAUGCAAAAAAUGCUCUACUUCCCUAUGUGAUACCUCAGAUGAAAUAAAUUAUUUCCUCAUCUUUAAAAGAAAAUACAAUAAUUGUAAAUUUUAUUUUUCUCCUAUUUUAUGUAACAGCCUCAACUUUGACUAAGGUUAUAAAUUACUUGUGUUGAACCAUUUGAUAACUUGCCAUGAGAUUUAAACAUAUGUAUUAAAUAUAUGAACAAAUGACAAUGUGUUUAAGGAUCUUGAAUGAUAAACUAUUAGGGUAAAAUACCCUUACCCCUCUAAGUUUUGAUUGAAAUUACAUGGAGGUCCAUUAGUUUUCAAAAUAGACACUCCGCCCCAAAAAAAUAUUUUUCACUGGACAUUUAGGUCCAGUUGUUAGUCAACCAUUAGUGUUUCCGUCAAUUUGAUGAUGUGAUAAGGGUAAAAACAUAAUUUCACCAUUGAUUAAUUUUUAAAAUUACUAUUAUAUAAUUUUAUUAAUUUUUUAAUUAAUUAAAAUAAAAAAGCUCCUCAAGGAGCAUUAAAGCUCCCUGGGAAGCACCAAUCGGGUGCUCCCCUCCCUUGAGGAGCACGAUGCUCUCUUUUUUAAAAUUUUUUUAAACAUAUAAUAUAAUUUUUAAAAUUUAUAUAAAAAAAAGAAAAGACAUUUUAGUCUUUUCCUAAUCUCUAUUAACGGUAUUUUCAUUUUUAGGACAAAGUGUCCAUUUCAAAAACUAAUAGACCUGCUUAAAAUUUGAACUAAAACUUAAAAGGUAGGGGUAUUUUACCCUAAAAUAUUAUGUUUUUGAUUAGAUUUUAGACCUUAAGCUAUGUGUUGAUAUGUUUUGACACUGAAUAUUGGUUAAUGUGGUGCAUACUAGUUGCAUUAAGAUGAAUAUUGAAAUAACAAAUCGUUUUGGAAGUCCAAAUUUGGAGUUAGGUAGUUUGAAGUGUUGAAAGUUUGCCUUUAGGAGAAAAUGUAUUGAUAAAUUCCUUGAUCUAUCAAUACAUUCAUGGCAGAAUGCCUUGGCAAAGCUUUCUAUCAAUACAUUCUAGAAUGUUUCGAUAGAUUUGGGCCAGGAGGCAUUCUAUAUGAAAACUCUCGAACAUUACAAGAACGUAUUGAUAGAUUUAAAAAGAUGGAUAUUUUGUAAAAAAGGUAUUUAUAGAUUUUCUUGAUCGAUCGAUACAUUUCAAGCAUAAAGCAUUCUUUUAAAUUUACUUCAAUAUGUUGGUACAUGUAUCGAUAGAUCUGAUGAAAAUUCGUGAAAAUGUAUCAAUGCAUGAUUGUAAGUCAGCAAAAAUAAAAGAGACUUUGGGCAUUCCACCCAUUUGAAAACACAAGGAAACAAAAGCUUUCCCUCCUUGCCUUUGAAACCCUAAAACCCCCUAGUAGAUUGGAACUAAUUUGGAGUACUUGGAAGCUUGGAAAUUCAUACUUAAGGUAAGAUCAAGCUUCCUAACAUUUUGAAUUACAUUUUAAUCGGUUCAAAAAUGAGAAUUUGACUAUGGUUUCAUCUCAAUUAUCUUCUCCUUGAGUUGUUGGGAUUUUGGAGUCUUAAGGGCUUAGAAUAGCUGCCAAGGUGAGGAAACCUAACUGUUUUGAACAUUGGAAACAAUGAAACCUAUGAUUUGGAUUGGUAGUUGGAUUUAGAAGCUCAGUUAGGCUUAGAAAAUCUGUGCAUGCUUUGAAAAAAGCUAAAGGUCUAGAAUUUAUGGAUUUGUUAGGUGAAGUGGGAACUUAGAGCUGUUGAUGAACUGAAAUUCUAUGUGGAAUGAUGGACGCAGUGUUUAGCUGAGUGUGAUGUCUUGGCUUCUUCUUGGAAGAAUGUUGCAGCACUAAAACUUUACUAUUUAGCAAUGUGAGUUACGUUAGAGAUAUUCUAGGUCAGUGGGGCAUUUUAUCUAGAAAUUAAGAUUUGAUGUAUGUAUGCACAAAUGUAUGCAUGUGCACUGCCAUGAAACAUGAUUGGUUGAUAAAAUGCUUAGAUGAACUAUGCAUAGGCCGAUGGGUUGAUUGAGCUCUAUUAUAGCUAUGUAUGUUAAUAAUAAAAACCUGUUUGAUAUUGGGUGAGCCAUGUGGUGGUGAUUGAGCUUGACUGUCUUAGUAUUCGCGACUAAAAAGUCUAUUGACCAUGCCUCUGCGCUUGUAUAAAACUUAUAACUUGAUACCUUUUUCUGUGGUAGCGUAUGAUUAUUGCUAAUUCUACGAAAUAAUGUUAUUAGUGAACUAUGGAAAAUCUGAAUUAUGAAAGUUGAUUGAGUUGCAUUCGUAAUUAUGCAUGUAUGAUGCCAAAUGGCUAUGUUAAUGACUUUUGCACAUGUAAUGGCGACACAAUUCCUAAUGGUAAUUGGUUUCGUCUUACGAGUGCUUUCUGGACGAUGAUAUGGUCUAGUUAGAAGGUGUCAUAGUCCCUGUGGUCUUGCUUACCAUUAGCAGUUUAGGCGUUGGACGUGUUUUGUUUACUUGGGAAGACCCUUCUCUUGUUACCAUCUUGAUGAUAACACAAUUUAAUUAGUUGACUUGACUGUCUUUUCAAUCCAAGACAAGUGAGCGAGAAAAACUGCACCAUUGCUCCAUGAAACCUUACAACUCUUAGACGUGAGUCUUGACCUCAUCGAUAGUUCCUAUCCUUGCUACACUCCUUGUGGAAAAAGCCUACCACUCGGCAGAAGAUAUGGUAUGCAUCUCCCUCAUCAUACAUGCACCUUAACAUAGGGUCAUGUAUCUCUUAAAUUGUAGGAUGAAGAUGAAGUCUUCGGUUUACAUUGAUGCUUUCUCAUUGCACCAAUCGAUGUUCCUCUCCACAUUAUUUCAUUCUUCAGUCAAAUUAUUCAUUGUUAACAACUAACGGAAAUGUAAGUGUGGAUUAUUCACGUGACAUGUUAAAUAAUUUUUACCAUGAUAUUUUAUUACUGUUAACAGUACAAUCUGAUAAAAAGAAUAAAAUGAAACCAUUUUAAAAUAUUAUGUGUAAAAUAUAUGAAAAAAGAUUAUAGAUUUAAUUUGAUUACAUUGCUGCCGGACUUACCAAAAUAAUUGUAGAAGCAUGUCUAAUGAUUAUAGGCAUAGCUCUUCAAAGAAAAAUACUGUUUUAUACUUAACAAAAAGAUAAAUGUAAAAUAUAAAAUUGAUCAAUUUUGUUUAGAAUUAUUAUUUUAUAUAUUUUGAAAUUUUGAAAUUUCAAAAUAUAUAAUAUUAUUUAAGUCGUAUUAUAUAUUAUAUAAUUGAAGGGUUAUAUUAAUCGCCUUACUGUGCAGAUAUACUUGGAUGAAUUAUAAAGAUUUCUUUUCUAUUAGUUUCGCUACGUAUCAAUUGGUUGGACACAUUUUAUAAUAAAUAUAAGAGACCAUCAUAGUGCUUCUUCACAAACUAGGACCUUAAUCUCCUUCUCUCCCGCUGAAAUUUUAGGAUGCCAAGAGCAAAACUUCCAUUAUUUUGCCUCUUGGCUUUUGCUUUAUCUCUAUUCCCCGACUGAGGCUCUUCUAUCUGUGGAAAUGUUACCAUCAAAAAGCCCUUUAAGUUAAAAAGCCAACCUCUCAGGUGUGGAAACCGUGAGCUAGUAGUCGAGUGUGACGAUAAUAACCACACCAUUUUCCCCAUGAAAUAUGGGAAAUUCCUUGUCCAAGACAUCUCUUAUAAUAACGGUACAAUUCAACUUUUAGACGAGAGUCUUGGCAAUGAUAACUGCUCCAUUCCUCAUAGGUCCUAUCCUUUGUACAUCCCUUUUGCGAAAAAACAACGUCUCUAUGAAGAUACCACUGAAUUUAGCAUCAUGUAUCUCGUAAAGUGCACGAUGCAGAUCAACUACUCUCGGGUUUAUAUCGAUGCUUUUCGUUGCACCAAUACUCCUUCCUCUCUACCUCCUUACUUGUAUUUUUUGGAUAAAAAAACAGCAAAGUCUGAUUUCCAUGAGUCAUGCAGAAUUGAAGCCCAGGUUCCAAUCAUGGUUGCCAGUAUCACUGGCCUCUCUACUUCUGAUAUUUACACAAAACUGUUGACGGGGUUCCGACUCUCAUGGUGGGAUUAUGCUUAUCAGUUUGGCUGGCUGCGGUGGGACUCAAUUGUUAACGUGUGAGGAUCUUUAAGUAUUCCAAAAUAUUUGGUGCUGUUUAGUUUUUGGAAAUGUUAACUAUUUUUAUUAUAAAUAAACAAAUAAGAUAAAAAUUUUAGUCUUUAUUUCUUUUUAAAAAGUUGACAACAUUUUUAAAUUACUAUUUUAACUAUGUAUAUUAAUUUGUUAUCUAAAAUUUAAACUCGAUAUUUUUAAAGAAUUACAGACUUUAAUUCUAUUAAUGUAGUGUCUACUUCAGACUUCAAUUAUUUCCUUUAAAUAUGUUUAGUGUAAAAUUUAAAGAUAAGGAUUUAAAGCAUUUUUAACAGUAAAAGUGUGCAUUCCAUUUAACUUAUUAAGGAUUAGCGGUUUUGAUGUUCUUUCUUGAAUAUUAAUUAUAGAUUGCUAUGGGUUUUAAAAAAAAAAGGAAGUAUAGAUUGCUAUCCUUGGUCAACCUUUUGCUGGCUCCGCUGUUUAUAUUUAUUGAAAGCAACGCGGCUCUUCUGCUAGGCAUCCCAACAGAGGAUUCAUUGGUAGAUAACAAAGGUGUUCUUUCUUUUCUGAGUUUGUUACUAUUUUGAUUAUUAUUGGAUUUACCUUUACUUUCCUAGGAUCUAUUAACACUUAGUUCUCGAAUCGGUAAAAUCUUAGCAUGAAUCCAGAUUUAUAUUUAUAUAUCAUUAAUUUAACAAUUGUAUUUCGUAAUCUAUUUACUUAUAUCAUGCAUGAUAAAUUUUAAGUUAAUUGAAAAUAUUUAAUUAUUUAAAUGAGAACAUUAAAAUUUUGACCAUUAAAUAUAUAUUAAAAAACCAAUAUUCUUGAGCAAUACGAUAUGGAUUAUCACAUUGAUUUGAAAUUUUAAAUGUAUGAUGAGUACGAAUAGUGUAUGAAAUUAUAAAAAGGUGUAAAACUUAAUUAAUUUUUAACUUGAGCCCUCAAAUUUAUAUAGUUUGUAUGAGUAUUGCAUAUAAAGUAUAUGUAUGUACAAAGAGAUUCCAAUAAAGGAUAAAAUUAUUUAAUAAGAGACGAUAUACUAUAAAUAAUUCAUGAAUAAUAUUGAACUACAUUAAUUGGGUUUUUUUCAGUUAGGUAUUUCUAUGUUGUUACGAUUUUUUUGGUCAAAAUAAAAAUUUUGUCCAAGUUUAUCAUAUUACUUGAAUGAGUACAAUUUUGUCAAUAUACUUUUAAAUUUGUUAAAAGAGAUCAAAAGUUACAAAAUGAACUAAAAUGUACAAUGAUAAAUAUUACACUCGUUAAAAAAAUAAAUAGUAAAUUUGAUCCAUCACCUUAAGUCUAGUGGUGAUAAAUUUAAACCUUAUCUCAAAUUAUUUUAUGAAGUUUGUUUGUGAAAUAUGGCAACAUAUACACAAAUUAAGUUAGUAACUAGCAUGUACAUAUUCUAUAAUCUUGUUGUCCAACUAAUUGGUUUAUAUAUAUGUUUUGUACUCUCUUUUUUUUUUUAUGAGAAACAGGAAUUAUAUUGUUAAGAACUUUUUUGGAGAUAACUUGCUUGAUUGUAUUUGUUAUACACAAAUUAAAAAUGUGGCAUUUGUCUAUGGAUGACAAGAUUGAGAAUUUUCUUCAGAGUCAAAACAAUUUAAUGCCUAUAAGAGACUCUUAUUCUGAAAUAAAAAGAAUAACAGAUGGCUUCAACAAUAAAUUAGGUCAAGGAGGAUAUGGCUCUAUAUUUAAAGGAAAACUUCGAAGUGAUCAACUUGUUGCAAUAAAAUUGUUAAACAAAUCAAAAGCUAACACCCAAGAUUUCACCAAUGAAGUUGCAACUAUUGGAAGGAUUCAUCAUGUUAAUGUGGUAAGACUUAUUGGAUUUUACGUGAAGGGAUCAAAACAAGCUCUUGUAUAUGACUUCAUGAAGAAUGGGUCCUUGGAUAAAAUUAUAUUUUCAACUGAAAAUAACACUUUGAGUUGAGAAAAAAUGUUUGAGAUUGCAUUGGGAGUGGCUCAAGGUAAUGACUAUUUACAUAAAGGCUGUGAAAUGCAAAUUUUUCACUUUGAUAUCAAGCCACAUAACAUUCUUCUAGAUGAGAAUUUUACUCCAAAAGUUUCAGAUUUUGGCCUCGCAAAUUUGUAUUCAGUGGAUGAUGAUAUUAUUUCUCUCACAGCAGCACGAGGUACGCUAGGAUAUAUGGCUUCUGAAUUGUUUUACAAAAAUAUCAGAGGUAUAUCAUAUAAAGCUGAUGUUUAUAGUUUUGGAAUGAUGAUAAUGGAAAUUAUCGGAAGGAGAAAAAAUUUGAAUGCCUCUGCUGAACAUUCAAGUCAAAUUUAUUUUUCAUCAUAGAUUUUUGAUCAAUUAGAUGAAGGAGAUACCAUGGAGCUUGGAGAUGUGACAGAAAUUGAAAACAAAAUUAUGAGGAAAAUGGUAAUAGUAACCUUAUGGUGCAUACAGAUGAAGCCCACAGAUCGUCCUUCAAUGAGCAAAGUCUUGAAGAUGCUUGAAAGUGAAGUUGAGCUCCUUGAAAUGCCUCCCAAGCCUUCUUUCUCCGGAAAUAUCAACUAAAGAUAGUAAAAAUUCUCCCUGCACACGUGGCAAUCGGCCUUCCUCAGCUACCUCGUGAUUUUCGUCGUUGGGACACCACUCAACAUCGUGAUCUUGCUAAAUCUGAUGCCCUUAAGUCGAUUACUUUUUCUGUAUUUAGUUUUUUGAGUGGUACGUAGUUUUUGUUUCCACCGAGAUCUAGCAGGCAGUGUUUGUAUUCUCUUUACCACCUUGGUUUGUUUUGUUUCUGCUACUUCUCUAUUUCCCUGUAUGCGACCUUUGAUGAAAUAAAUCAUUUCCUCACUUAUAAAAAAAUUGCAAGAAAAUGUAAAUUUUUUCCCUUAUUUUAUAAAAAGAAAAUGUGUUAUAUCUUAUAUUAUAUUUUUAUGUACCUAUGUAUCUAUAGUAUUAGUUGUUUAAACUUUUUGGGUGUAAUUCAUUUUCAUAGAUAAUUAACAGCUUUUAUAAAAGUGCAGUCUUUGUCACUAUAUAUGCAUGUAAAUCUCUCUUUAACUGCAAUUGUUUUGCCCAAAAUACUUCUUAUAAAAGAUUGUACAGAGCAGCCAAAUUUGUAAAGUUCUAUCCUAAGUAAAAUAUUUUUAAUGACACAAAUUAAAAAAAUUAAAUGUCAAAUUUAUUGUGGUGUGUUUUUCCCCCUUUGACUCUAGACUCUAGCUUAUUAAAUUUUCAAAGGAAGAUUUGCUUUCAUUUGCAGCCAGAGAAUGAUUAGCAGAGCAACCAAGAUAAAAUUAUCUUAGUUCUUAUUUAAUCUUACUUUUUAAACUUUUUUAUACAUAUAAAAAAAUGCAAAAUAUGGACUGAUUAGUCCUUUUAGACUUGAUUGGUCGAAGGUGAAAUUUUAAGACUAAACGGUGAAUUUACAAGAUUGCUCGAAUGAUUUUAUUCCUAUUUGAGUGGAAAAUCAGCUAAGAGCUAUGAUUGGCUUGUGGUAAGGUGGUUGGCUUUAAUUAGUUGACUUGACUGACUUUUCGAACGAAGACAAGUGAGCAAGAAUAACCACACAUUUUCCCCAUGACAUAUAUAUGAGAAUUUCUAUGUGGAAAAAGCCAUAUAAAUCUUGGAGGUGAGUCCUGACAAAAAUAACUGCUCUAUUCCUCAUAGUUCCUAUCCUUGCUACACCCCUUGUAGAAAAAGCUUACCAUGCCACUCGGUAGGAGAUAGGGCAUACAUCUCCCUCAUCAUAUGUAUGCAUGCACGUCAAUAUAGGGUCAUGUGUAUCUCUUAAAUUGCAGGAUGAAGAUGAAUUCUUCGGUUUACAUUGAUGCUUUCCAUUGCACCAAUCGAUGUUCCUCUCCACGUUAUUUUGUUUCUUCAGUCAAAUUAUUCUCUGGUUAACAACUAAUGAAAAUGUAAGGAUAGAAUAUUCACGUAAUAUGUUACAUAAUUUAUACUAUAAUAUUUUAUCAUUGUUAACGGCACAAUUUGAUAAAAAGAUAAAAAAGAAAUCAUUUUAUUAUAUUAUGUGUAAAAUACAUGAAAAGAAAAGAUUACAAAUUUUAUUUGAUUACAUUACUGCAGAACUUACAAAAAUAAUUAUAGAAGCAUGGCUAAUGAUUAUAGGUAUUAUUUGGAUAGAUAUUUUUCUCAUUUUUCUUGUUUGACUGGUUGUAACUUGUCUUCAAAUUUUGAUAUCCACCAAAAAACUAUCCAAGAGCUUGAUUGUUUUAGAUAGUCAUUCAACAGCUUGACUGACUUUAUAUUUGUCUGUGCAACAAAUUUGAAAAUUUUUUUUAAAAAAGUCAAUAUUGAAUUUUAGACAUGCAUAAAUAGCAUAAUUUUUUAUUAUGCAGUGAAAAUAUAUGUAUAAAGUAUGAGGAAAGAUCUACUUAUACCGGUAUAAAAUUAAAUUAGUUUUACACUUUUUCAUGUCUUUUUAUUUCAUUUAUAUUUUGUUAAUCUAACCGUUCAUUUUAUGUUUUAUUCAUAUAAAUAUUCAUAGAUAGCAAAUUUCAAGUUAAUUGGAAAUGACUAACUACAUAUUUGAGAAAAAUAAAAUUUCAAUCAUUAAAUAUAUAUUGAAAAAAGGCAUUAUUCUCGGUUGAUGUAAUAAGAAUGUUGAAUUAAUAUGAGACUUUACGUGUAUGAUAAAUGCGAAUAAGUUGUUAAAUGUAAUGAUUCUAUUUGUUAAAAUAUUAAUUCCCUAAGAAGUUAUAGAAAAAUGUAAAGUACUUAGUUUUAGAGAUACAAGGCGAUUCCUCUUGGCCGGUAUAAAGUAUUGCUAUUUAGGCUUUUGUGUGCAAUUUUUUUUCAUAGCUAAUUGUUGUUGAAAGUGUGCAAUCUUUACUACUGUAUGCAUGUAAUAUUUUUGUCCAAAAUAUUAGCAAAAAAAAUGUUUUGAACUGUGAACUCCGUAAAAGUUCUAUACAAAAGGAUUUUAAACAACAAUAGUUAAAGAAAAAAAAUAAAUAAAUGAAAAUUUAAUUAUUAUAGUGUGUUUUUUCCACUUGUUCAAAGUAAGAUUUGAUUUCAAUUGCAGCCCUAGAUAUAAUCAGCAAAGCAAUGAAGCUAACAUUAUCCAAAGAUUUAAUGUUUCUCGUUAAACUUUUUUAUAUAUAAUUCUCCAAAGAAAAAUACAGUUUUAUACUUAAAAAAUAAAUGUAAAAUAUGAAAUUGAUCAAAUUUUUUCAGAAUUAUUAUUUUAUAUAUCUUGAAAUUUUGAAAUUCCAAAAUUUAUAAUAUUGUUUAAGUCAUAUUAUAUAUAUUAUUGAGGGUUUAUAGUAAUAUCCCUACUGUGUAGAUUUACUUGGAUGAAUUGCAAAGAUUUCUUUUCCAUCAGUGCCGCUACGUACCAAUUUGUUAGGUACACGGAUUUUCUUCUUUCUUGUUUGUUUGCGUGGAAAAUCAUCAAAAAGCUCUAUGACAGGCUUGUCGUUAAAGGUGUUUUGCGGGUUGGGUUUAAUUAGUUGACUGACUUUUCAAAAGAAGACUUGGUUUUAACAAUAAAUGUAAGAACUGCUUCACUUGCCUCUAUCAAAACGAGGACCUUAAUCUCCCACUGAAACUUUAGGAUGCUUAGCGUCAUACUUCCAUUACUUUGCCUCUUGGUUUGGCUUCAGUGCAAAUCUCCAAUCCAGUCGUUACAAAAAAAGACAAGUACUGUGGCUUUUCUUUCUGUGGAAACAUUAACAUCACUUACCCUUUUCGAUUAAAAAACCAGCCUCGUAGUUGUGGUUACAAUAGGUUUGAACUAGUGUGCCAGAAUAACCGCACCAUUUUCCCCAGGAAAUAUGGGAAUUUCUAUGUCCAACACAUCUCUUAUAGUGACGAAACCAGCCGACUUUUAGACGAGAGUCUUGGCAACGACAACUGCUCUAUUCCUCAUAGUACCUAUCCUCGGUCCACCCCUUCUGCAAAAAAACUAUAUCCCUGGCGUACCUUUUCAUGGGAAGAAAGAAAUUUCUAUCAAACUACCCCUGAAUUUAGCGUCAUGUAUCUCAUAAAUUGCACGAUGCAGAUCAACUACUCUUCCGUUUAUAUCGAUGCUUUUCGUUGCACCAAUACCCCUUCCUCCUCUCAACCUCCGUACUUUUACUUUUUGGAUGAAAAUACAGCACCGUCUGAUUUCCAUGAGUCAUGCACUGUUGAAGCCCAAGUUCCAAUCAUGGUUGCCAGUAUCAUCGGCCUCUCUACUUUUGAUAUUUACACAAAGCUGUUAACGGGAUUCCAACUCUCAUGGUUCACUUCCUCUUAUGAUUAUGUUUGGCUGCGGUGGGACUCAAUUGUUAACGUGUGAGGAUUUUUAAGUAUUCCGCAAUAUUUGGUGUUGUUUCGUUUUUGAAAAAUAUUUAUUAUUAUUAAUUUUUUUUGGAUCGUAAUAUUUAUUAUUUUUAGCAUACAUAAAUAUGAUAAAAAAACAAAUAUCAAAAUAUUUAGUUUUGAAUUCUUUUAAACUACUUUUUUAAUUAUGUGUAUAAAUUUGUAUCUAAAAUUUAAACUCGAUAUUUUAAUGUAAAAUUUAAAGAGAAGGAAUUAAGACAUUUUCAACACUAAAAGUGCGCAUAUCAUUUGCCUUAUUAAGGAUUAAUGGUUUUGAUGUGCUUUUUUGAAUAUUAAUUAUAGAUUGCUAUUCUUGCUCAAGCUGUGGUCGGUUCUGCCGAAGAUACUUGUACAAGGCAACAUAGCUUUUUUUGAACCAGAUUCUAUCGAUGGAUUUAGUAAAUGUAUUCUUUCGGUUCUGAGUUCAUUAAUAUUUUGAUUAUUAUUGGAUUUGCCUUUACUUUGAUAGAAUCUAUUUUCAUUUAUUUUCUGAUUUGGUAAUAUCUUUGCAGGAAUCCAGAUUCUUUGUGUUGCAAUAACAGGUACUAAAUUCUAUACUUAUUUAUUUACUCUUAAAUUCUACAAUUAUUAUAAUGUAUGACAUCAAUAAAUAUAUUAUUAUAUAAAUGGAUUAAAAAAUUAUUAAAUUAUUUAAAAAAUUCCUAAACUAUUUUACAACAAUUCCAAUAAGCUUUUCUUAAUUUUUAUUGCAUUCAAUCAAGCUAUUAUAUUUUUAUUUUGAACCAAAUAAACCCUUCUAAGUAACAGUUAACUAAUGUUAUUAGUUCAAAUGUCACUUGUUAUUUCAUACUCAUGUGACAUUGAUAUGAUGCUGACAUGGAGGAUGAAAAUGCCACAUAACCAUGUCAUAAUGCCAUAUACUCUGAUAUGUCAACAUAAUAUAUCCAUGUCAUAUGAUAUAAAAUAACAAAUGGUAUUUUGAUUAAUAACAGUUAGUUAACCAUUAGUUAUAAUGACUUAUUUGGUUCAAAAUAAAUGUUUAAGAGCUUGAUCAUACACAAUAAAAGAAUGAGAGUUUAUUUGAAUUUUUCUAAAUAGCUCAAGAAAUUUUUAAGUAUUAUGCAUUUUUGUGUGUGCGUGUGUGUAUAUGUACCAGUGUGAAAUUAAUUAAAUUUACACCUUUUCAUAUUUUUUAUAAGAUUUAUAUUUUGUUAAUUUAACCGGUGUAUUCCAUAUAUACUCAAUUUACAUAGAUCAUGCAUAAAAAAUUUUAAAUCAAUUGAAAAUAUCUAAUUAUUUGUAUAAUAAUAAUAAAAUUUUAACCAUUAAAUAUAUAUUUAAAAAACAAUAUUCUCUACCAAUGUGAUAUGGAUAUUGCACUGACUUGAAACUUUUUAUGUACGAUUGGAUGCAAAUAAAGUUAGCUUGCUAAAACUUAAUUGUAUAUGAAAUUAUAAAAUGGUGUAUAUAUAUAUAUAUAUAUGAGUAUUGCAUAUAUGUAUAUGUAUGUAUAAAGAGAUUCAAUAAAGGAUAAAAUAAUUAAAUAAGAGAAGAUCUACUAUAAAUUAUUCAUAAAUAAUAUUGAACUACAUUAAUUAGGUUUUUUUAGUAAGGUAUUUUUAUUUUGUUACGAUGUUUUUUGGUCAAAAUAAAAAUUAUGUCCAAAUUUAACAUUUUACUUUGGUGAUAGACCAAAUUAUGAUCAUAUUUAAAUGAGAAUAAUUGGCACUAUACUUUUAAAUUGGUUAAAAAUGAUCAAAAGUUAUGAAAUAAACUCAAAAGUACAAUAAUGAAAGUUACACUCAUUCAAAAAUGAAUAGUAAAUUUAAUCCAUCAUUUUUUUUAAAAGGUGAAUUUUUAUUAACCUCAACACUAUCAUGCCAUUUUGAUUCUCAAGCUUAGAUUGCAAGAGACUCUCAUGACAUAAAUAGUUAGUAAGCAGCCUGUACAAUUUCCAAAAAGAAUAUGCUACUCAAUAAGAUUUUGGUAGCAACUCAGGAUAAAGAAACUAACGUACCUUAAGCAGAUUGGUGGUAAAUUUGAACCUUAUCUCAAAUUAUUCUAUGAAGUUUGUUUGUGAAAAUAUGGCAGCUAGCACAUGCCCAAAUUAAAGUUGUAAAUAACAUAUACAUGUUCUAUAAUCAUGUUUUCCAACUAAUUGAUUUACAUAUUGUUUUGUAUUUUUUUUUUUUUGAGAAACAGGAAUUCUUUUGCUAAGAACUUUUUUGGGAAUAAUUUGCUUGAUUGUGCUGGUUAGACGAAAAUUAAAAAGGAGGCAUUUGUCGAUGGAUGACGUGAUUGAGAAUUUUCUUCAGAGUCAAAACAAUUUAAUGCCUAUAAGAUAUUCUUACUCUGAAAUAAAAAGAAUGACUGAUGGUUUCAAGAAUAAACUUGGUCAAUGAGGAUAUGGCUCUGUGUUUAAAGGAAAACUUUGACGUGGUCAACUUGUUGCGAUAAAAUUGUUAAACAAGUCAAAAGCUAACGGCCAAGAUUUCAUCAAUGAAGUUGCAACUAUUGGAAGGAUUCAUCAUGUUAAUGUGGUAAGACUUAUUGGAUUUUGCGUGAAGGGAUCAAAACAAGCUCUUGUAUAUGACUUCAUGAAGAAUGGGUCCUUGGAUAAAAUUAUAUUUUCAACUGAAAAUAACACUUUGAGUUGGCAAAAAAUGUUUGAGAUUGAAUUGGGAGUGGCUCGAGGUAUUGAAUAUUUGCAUAGAGGUUGUGAAAUGCAAAUUUUACAUUUUGAUAUCAAGCCACAUAACAUUCUUCUAGAUGAGAACUUUACUCCAAAAGUUUCAGAUUUUGGCCUCGCAAAGUUGUAUUCAGUGGAUGAUGAUAUUAUUUCUCUCACAGCAGCACGAGGUACAGUAGGAUAUAUGGCUCCUGAAUUGUUUUAUAAAAAUCUCGGAGGUAUCUUAUAUAAAGCCGAUGUUUAUAGUUUUGGAAUGAUGCUAAUGGACAUUAUUGGAAAAAGAAAAAAUUUGAAUGCCUCUGCUGAACAUUCAAGUCAAAUUUAUUUUCCAUCAUGGAUUUAUGAUUGAUUAGACGAAGGAGAUAUCAUGGAGCUUGGAGAUUUGAUAGAAAAUGAAAACAAAAUUAUGAGGAAAAUGGUAAUAGUAGCCUUAUGGUGCAUACAGAUGAAGCCUAUAUGGAUCGUCCUUCAAUGAGCAAAGUCUUGAAUAUGCUUGAAAGUGAAGUUGAGCUCCUUGAAAUGCCUCCAAAGCCUUCUUUCUUUGGAAAUGUCAACUAAAGAUAGUAAGAAUUCUCCCCGCACAUGUGGCAAUCGGCCUUCCUCAACUAUCUCGUGAUAUUCGUCAUUGGGACACCACUCAACAUCAUGAUCUUGCUAAAACUGACAACUUCUUCUGUAUUUAGUUUUUUGAGUGGUACGUAGUUUUUGUUUCCACCUAGAUCUAGUAGGCAGUGUUUGUAAUUUCUCUACUACCUUGGUUUGUUUUGUUUCUGCUACUUCUUUAUUUCCCUAUAUGUGACCUCUGAUGGAAUAAAUCAUUUCCUCACUUGUAAAAAAAUUGUAAGAAAAUGCAAUUUUAUGUUUCCCUUAUUUUAUACUGUCACGGCCCAAACCCGAGGCACGACAGACGCCACAUACCUAUAAGAUGUAAUCUUACAAACAUGCAAGGCUCCAAUACAUAUACCUUAUAACACUAAUUGAAAGAGACUAAAAUACCUGAAGAACAUAGUGAUUCAUAAUCGGUAGAAAUUCAAAAGAUCAUAAUUCGACAAUUUUUAGAAUUAAGUCUCUAAAACUAUAAAGCUAACAUGUCAAGAUAAAACUCUGAAUACUAAUUUAAGAUAGUUUGAUGUUCAUAAUAUUUAAAUAAAUCCUAGACAACCUAAAUGCUACUAGAUUAAAACAUCACUCCUCGAAAUUCUCACGUAGUUGACCAAAUCACAAUCUGAAAAAAAAAUUAAAGGAAGGAGUGAGUCCAACUACUCAGCAAGUAACUAACAUCUCACUUCAUACUACAAAAGGCCUUAAAGAAAUUAUCAAAAAUGUUAUCGGAAUAUGGAGUUCCGAUGACCCAAAUUUAGGUUGUGAAAAUAGUUGAAAACCAGGUUUCCAAUUAAUUUUAAAAAUUCAUAUUUUCCAAACCACAAAACCAAACGAGAUGCUACAAAAACCAUUGAAAAGAUCUUUUCAAGACCUUUCCAUUGGUACCCAUCAUGCCAUCGAAAAGUCACCAGAAUAGUACCGGAUUUGAAUAAAAGUUAAGAAAACAUAAAUAAUUUAGGGUUUUUGUGCCCAACUAUGAAAAUACAACCCUAAACAUACCUUAAUCAACACUCUCUUGAAUACUUUUCUCUUUUUUCUAUGUUGCUUCUUCCAUGGUAUUAAGCUUUCUUGACUGCCUAUCGUUUGAGUCUGAUGAAAUAAACUGACAUGAGUUUUCUGCCUUUUCUUUUAAACUUGUAAACUAACCUAACCUCCACUAUCUUUUUUUUUUAAAAUGUGAUUUAGUGAGUUGUGGUCAGGUAAAACAAACUGACCUUAACCCCACUAACUUAAACAUGAUAAAUAAAACCAACAUUAAUUAAACUUCCUUAUUUACUUAAAGACCUUUUUUCUAUUUUUUUAAUUAUUAAGGCACUCAAGGUUAUAAUUGCAAUUAAAUAAAAUACUAAAACAACAUUUACUUAUUUAUUUUUAUAAAACUAUAGCUUAAUAAAUCUAAAUAUUUUUAUAAUAUAUACUUUGUGAUGGGUAUCACAUCCUCCCCUCCUUAAAAAGGAGUUUAGUUCCUUAAACUCUUACCUUGGUCCUAAAAAGGUGGGGAUACUUCUUUUCGAUAUUUUCUUAUAAAUCCCAAGUCGUUUCUCGUUCUGUAUGGUUACUCCGUUUGACCUUAACAUAAAGAAUAGUUCACCUUCUUAGAACUUGCUCUUUUCUAUCCACAAUACGUAUAGGAUGCUCAUCAUAGGACAAAUCUUCUCUAAGUCUCAAAGGAGCUACUUCCACCACAUGACUAAGAUCUGGAACAUAUUUUCUCAACAAAGAAACAUGAAACAUGUUAUGCACUCCCGAUAGAGUAGGUGGAAGUGCCAACCUAUAAGCCACAUCACCAACCUUAUCCAAAAUCUCAAAUCAACCCACAUAACGAGGACUAAGUUUUCCUCGAAUCCCAAAUCGCAAUACUCCUCUAGUAAGUAAAACUAGCAAAAAGACAUGAUCUCUAACCUUAAAUUUUAUCUUCCUUCUUUUAUUGUUUGUAUAACUCUUCUGUCUACUUUGAGUCGUACGAUGAUGUUCUCUAACUAACUGAACCUUCUCAACUGCUUGUUGAAUAAGAUCUAGACCUAAUAACUGUCUUUCACCCACAUCAUCCCAACAAAGAGGUGACCUGUACUUCUUACCAUACAAAGCUUCGAAUGAAGCCAUUUGGAUACUAGGCCGAUAGCUAUUAUUAUAAGCAAAUUUCGUCCAUGACAAGUGUCGAUCCCAAGAACCUCCAAAAUCCAUGACACAAGCUCUCAACAUGUCCUUAAGAAUUUAAUUAAUUGUCUCGGACUGACCAUCUGUUUGGAGAUGAAAAGUAGUACUAAAAUUAAGUCUAGUUCCCAAAGAUUUAUGCAGACUCUCCCAAAAUUUCACCACAAAUCGAGAAUCUCAAUCAUAUACAAUAAACACUAGCACCCCAUGCAGUCUCACAAUCUGCUCCACAUAUAACUCCGCUAACUUUUCCAAUGAUAUUUUCGUACGAAUAGCCAAAAAGUGAGCAGACUUUGUUAAUCUAUCAACAAUCACCUAGAUGCCAUCAUUACCUUUUAGUGUUCUCGACAAACCUGAUAUAAAGUCCAUAGUAAUUCAUUCCCAUUUCCAUUCUGGAAUAGGAAAGGGUUGCAAUAACCCUACUGGCCUCUGAUGUUCAACCUUAACUUGUUGACAUGUCAGACAUUUGGCUAAAAACUAUGCAAUCUCUCUCUUCAUAUUGUUCUACCAAAAAGUGUUCUUCAAAUCUCUAUACAUCUUGGUACCACCAAAAUGGAUUGUACAAUUACUAUAAUGAGCUUCCAACAAAAUUUCUCUCUUCAAUUCUGCAUCAUUGGGAAUACAAAUUCUAUUACCAAACCUCAAAGAGUCAUCAUCAUGAAUCCUAAAGUCUGGUUUCAAACCAGAUUCAACCCCAAGUUUAAUGUGCUAAAGUCGAAGAUCAUCUACUUGGGCUAUCUUAAUCCAGUGAAUUAAAGUUGGUUGUACUUGUAUGUUAGCCAAUAAUGCUCCAAAACCCUGUAUACAUACACCAAUAUUCAUCCUCCGUAAGUCCUCUAAAAUCUGUUUUUGGGAAGUAAUCAUUACGACCAUGUUCCCAGACGUCUUUCUACUUAGAGCAUCAGCAACUCUAUUUGCCUUACCUGGGUGAUAAUUGAUGGUCAAGUCAUAAUCCUUUGAUAAUUCUAGCCAUCUUCUUUGUCGCAUAUUCAACUUCUUCUGCGUGAAAAGAUAUUUCAAACUUUUAUGAUCUGUAAAGACCUCACAAGACUCUCCAUAUAAAUAGUGUCUUCAAAUUUUUAAUGCGAAAACCACUGUUGCCAAAUCUAAAUCAAGAGUAGGAUAAUUCUCUUCAUAAGGUUUCAACUGUCUAGAAGCCUAAGCGAUCACCUUAUCAUCCUGCAUAAGAACACACCCAAGUCUCUUUUUGGAAUCAUCACUAUAAACAACAAAUCCCUUACCACUAGUAGGCAUGGUAUGUAUGGGAGCGAAUACUAAUUUUUUCUUUAACUCCUUAAAGCUCUUUUCACAAUCGUUUGUCCACUCAAAAUGAAUCUCUUUCCAUACCAAUCUGGUUAAAAGUAAGGCAAUACGAGAAAAUCCUCCACAAAUCGCCUAUAGUAUCCUACUAAACCCAGAAAACUACGAAUCUCAUCAACAUUAUGUGGUCUCUUUCAAUUCACCACUGCUUCAACUUUCUUUGAAUCCAUCGAAAUCCCAUCUUUCGACACCACAUGCCCAAGGAAAGCAACACUAGAAAGCCAAAAUUCACAUUUCUUCAAUUUAGCAAAUAACUGUUUCUGCCUCAAAGUCUUCAAAACAACCCUUAGAUGCUCUUUAUGAUCUGCUGAGUUAGAGGAAUACACUAGAAUAUCAUCAAUAAAAACAACCACAAACUUAUCCAAAUAAGGUUUAUAAACCCUAUUCAUCAAGUCCAAAAAAGUAGCCGGAGCAUUUGUCAACUCAAAAGGCAUAUCAAGGAACUCAUAAUGCCCAUAUCGGGUACAAAAAGCAGUUUUGGGAACAUCCUCAAUUCUCACCUUCAAUUGGUGAUAACCAGAUUGAAGAUUAAUUUUGGAAAACACUUGAGCGCCCUUUAGUUGAUCAAAUAAAUCAUCUAUUCGAGGCAAAGGAUACCUAUUCUUCAUGGUUGCCUUAUUUAACUCCCGAUAAUCAAUGCACAACCUCACACUCCCAUCCUUUUUCUUCACAAAUAACAAUGGCGCUCCCCAAGUAGAUACACUAGGUCUAAUAAAGCCCUUAUCAAGAAGUUUUUGCAACUGCUCUUUCAACUCUUUUAAUUCUAUAAGAGCCAUUCUAUAAGGAGCUUUAGAAAUCGAGCCAGUUCUUGGAACCAAAUCAAUAGAGAAAUCAAUUUCCCUAUUAGGAGAUAAACUAGGUAGAUUUUUAAGAAAAACAUUAGGAAAUUCCCCCAUAAUAAGAAUCUCUUUAAUCAUUAACUUCUUCAUUCUAUUGUCUAUACUAGCUGCCAAAAAUCCUUUGCAACCACUAGUAAGCAAUCACCUAGCUUUCAAAGCAAAGAUGACUCAUAAAAAAGUGUAAGGACCACUACCACGAAAACAAACAGGUGUUUCUCCAGGAAUCUCAAAGUCUACCCUUUUCCCUCGAUAGUCAACUUUAACAAAAUUUACAACCAACCAAUCCAUCCCUAGAAUUACAUCAAAAUCUUACAUAUCUAAAACAUGAAGAUAUGCAAGCAAUUCUCUAUCUUCAAUCCAUACCACACACAUCUUACAAAUCUGAUAUGAGAUAAUAUCAUCUCUAACUGGAGUGUCUACGCAUAGUUCAUAAUCCAGAAGCAUACAAGGCAAAGCAAACUUUUGAACAAAUGUAGCAAAUACAAAAGAACGAGAUGCAUCGGUAUCAAACAAUACAUAAGCAAAAGCUGAGGCAACUAGCAAUGAACUUGAGACAACGGUGUUGGAUGCCUCUACAUCAGACUGAGUGAUAGCAUAAGCACGGCCCUAGGUGCAAGGUCUUCCCACUUUUUGAUGUUCAGAAAAAGGUGUUUGCGUAGUCUAAACAACAUGAGUGGGUUGAGUCCUUUGCGUUGUAGUUUCAAAGGUUCAAGAGUUUUGUGGCCUUUACACAGAUUAAGAUUCUUGAAGGACUAAAGGACAAUCAGCAAUACAAUGGCCCUGUUGUCCACCUCUAAAACAAGCACCAGUUACAUGCCUACAUUUAGCAGCUCGAUGUUCUCCACCACACACUGAACACCUAGGCUUUUGUGCGCAAACUAUGAAAAUACAACCCUAAAUAUACCUUAAUCAGCAAUCCCUUGAAUACUUUUUCUUUUUUUCUGUCUUUCUUCUUCCUUGGUGUUAAUCUCUUCUUACUACCUAUCGUUUGAGCCCGCUGAAAUAAACUGACAUGAGUUUUCUGCUUUUUCUUUUAAAAUUGUAAACUAACCUAACUUCCACUAUCUUUUUUUUUUAAACAUGAUUUAGUGAGUUAUUGUUAGGUAAGAUAAACUGACCUUAACCCCACUAACUUAAACGUGAUAAAUAAAACUGACAUUAAUUAAACUUUUUUAUUUACUUAAAGAUCCCUUCUUCUAUUUUUUAAUUAUUAAGGCACCAAAAGUUAUAACUGCAAUUAAAUAAAAUACUAAAAGAACAUCUACUUAUUUGUUUUUAUAAAACUAUAGCUUAAUAAAUCUAAAUGUUUUUAUAGUAUAUACCUUGUGAAGGGUAUUACAUAUACAAAGAAAAUAUGUGAUAUCUUAUAUUUAUAUUUUUAUGUAUGUACGUAUCUAUAGUAUUAGUUGUUUAAACCUUUUGGGUGCAAUUCAUUUUCAUAUAUAAUUAACAGCUUUUAUAAAACUGCAGUGUUUGUGACCAUAUAUGCAUGUAAAUCUCUCUUUAACUGCAAUUGUUUUUUGUCCAAAAUACUUCUAAAAAAAGAUUGUAUAGAGCAGCCAAAUUUGAAAUAAAAUAUUUUUAAUAACACAAGUUAAAAAAAUUAAAUGCCUUAGUUCUUAGUCAAUCUUUCUUUUUAAACUUUUUAUACAUAUAAAAAAAAUCUAAAAUAUGGACUGAUUAGUCCUUUUAGACUUAAUAGAUCGACGGUGAAAUUUUAAGACUACACAAUAAAUUUAUAGGAGUACUCGAAUGAUUUUAUUUAUAUCUUAUUGGAGGCUUAUAUUAAUCUCUCAACUCAGACAAAUUACGAAGUAAGAUUCUUUUUAUGUCAGUUUCGUUACCAAUCAGUUGCAUACUAUAUUUCUUCACUUAUUUCUGUUUUAGUAGAAAAUCAGCUGAGAGCUAUGAUUGGCUUUGUGUUAAAGUGGUUGGCUUUAGUUAGUUGACUUGACUGACUUUUCGAACGAAGACAAGUGAGCAGGAAUAACCGCACCAUUUUCCCCAUGAAGUAAGAGAAUUUCUGUAAAAGUUAUAUGCAAAUGGAUUUUUAAAAACACAAGUUGAUGAAAAAAUUAAUAAAUGCAAAUUUAAUUAUUAUAUUGUGUUUUUUCCACUUGUUCAAAGGAAGAUUUGAUUUCAAUUGCAGCCACAGAAAUAAUUAGCAAAGCAAUAAAGAUAACAUUAUCCUAACUCUUUUUUAAUCUUCCUCGUUAAACUGUUUUAUACAUAAUAUUUAAAAAAAAAUGACUUUUUUAUACUUACAAAAAAUAAAUAUAAGAUAUGGAAAUUGAUUUUUUUUUUGAAGAGGAAAUUGAUCUAUUUUAUUUAAAUUAUAUUUUAUAUAUUUGUGAUGAAAUUUUGAAAUUCCAAAUUUUAUAACACUAUUUAAGCGAUUAAAUAUAUAUUUAUUUAUUGAGGGGUUAUAUUAAUCUCCCUACUGUGCAGAUAUACUUGGAUGAAUUAGAAAGAUUUCUUUUCUGUUAGUUUCGCUACCAAUUGGUUUUAACAGAUUUUCUUCUUUCUUGUUUGUUUGCGUGGAAAAUCACCCAAGGGUCAUUGAGUACUAUUAUAGGCUUUGUGUUAAACGUGUUCUGAGGCUUGGGAUUUAAUUUGUUGAUUGACUUUUCAAAAGAAGACUUGGUUUUAACAAUAAGUCUAGGAGAAGAUCGUAGUGCUUCUUCACAAACUAAUUAAGCCCUUAAUCUCCUUCUCUCCCCUGAAAUUUUGGGAUAAUAAGAUCAAAGCUUCCAUUAUUCGGCCUUCUGGCCCUUGCUAUAACUCUAUUCCCUGAUGCAUGCAUCGCUAGAGGCAAACACAAGCACUGUGGCUCUUCUUUCUGUGGAAACAUUAACAUCACUUACCCUUUUCGAUUAAAAAGUCAGCCUCGAAGUUGUGGUUACAAUCGUUAUGAACUAGUAUGCGAGAAUAACCGCACCAUUUUGCCCAUGAAACAUGGGAAUUUCUAUGUCCAACACAUCUCUUUUAGUGACCAAACCUUUCAACUGUUAGACGUGAGUCUUGACAAGCAUAACUGCUCCAUUCCUCAUAGUUCCUGUCAUUGGGCCAGCGUUUGUCCCAAAAAACUAUAUGAUUGGUCCAUCCCUUCUGCGGUAAAACUAUAUCCUUGGCGCCCCUUUUCAGCGGAAGAAAUAAAUUUCUAUCAAACUAUCCCUGAAUUUAGAGUCAUGUAUCUCGUAAAUUGCAUGAUGCAGAUCAACGACUCUUGGGUUUAUAUCGAUGCUUUUCGUUGUACCAAUACCCUUCCUCUCGACCUCCUUAUUUUUACUUUUUGGAUGGAAAAACAGCACCGUCUGAUUUCCAUGAGUCAUGCACAGUUGAAGCCCGGGUUCCAAUCAUGGUUGCCAACAUCACCUUCCUCUCUACUUUUGAUAUUUACACAAAGCUGUUAGCGGGAUUCCAACUCUCAUGGUCAACUUCCUAUUAUCAUUAUGUUUCGCUGCGGUGGGACUCAAUUGUUAACGUGUGAGGGUUUUUAAGUAUUCCGCAAUAUUUGGUGUUGUUUAGCUUUUGAAAAAUAUUUAUUAUUUUUAGCACAAAUAUGAUAAAUAAAUAAAUAUAAAAAAAAUUUAGUUUUUAAUUCUUUUUUAAAAAUUUAAAUAUUUUUAAAUUACAUUUUUUAGUAUGUAUAUAAAUCUGUAUUUUAUUCAUUCUAAAAUUUAAACUCGAUAUUUUUUUUAAAAUUAGAAUCGCAAUUUUUUAUUAAUGUAGUGUCUACUUCAGACUUUAAUUAUUUACUUUUACUCUAAAUAUGUUUAAUGUAAAAUUUAAACAGAAGGAUUUAAAACAUUUUCAACAGUAAAAGUGCUAAUUUCAUUUGCCUUAUUAAGAAUUAACGUUUUUUAUUUGGUUUUUUGAAUAUUCAUUAUAGAUUGCUAUCCUUGCUCCAACUGUUGUUGCUUCCGCUGGCGAUAUAUAUAAAAAGCAACCUGGAUUUUCUGCGGGGCACCUUAACAGAGGAUAGUUUAGUUCCUAAUAAAGGUGUUCUUUCUUUCUGAGUUCAUUACUAUUUUGAUUAUUAUUUGGUUUGCCUUUACUUUCUUGUAUAGUAUCUAUAUAUUAACACUUAAUUUUCGAAUUGGUGAUAUCUUAGCAGGAAUCCGGAUUCCUUGUGUUACAAUAACAGGUACUAAAUUCUACACUUAUUUAUUUACUCUGAAAUUCUAGAGUUGUUACAAUGUACGACAUCGUAAUGUAGUAGGAAUCUAAGAUUCAGAUUUACAUUUGUAAUUUAUUAUUAUAAUAAUACAUAUAUUAAAAAAUUCAAAUAAUUUUUUUUAUUUCGUUCAAUCAAAUCAUCAUAUUUUAUUUUGAUUCAAAUAAACUUUUAUAAUUAACGGUUGACUAAUUGUUAUUAUUUCAAAUGUCACUUGUCAUUUUAUAUUCACGUGAUGUUGAUAUGAUACUGACAUGGAAGGUAAAAAUAGCACGUAAUUAUGUCAGCAUGUCACAUACUAUGACAUGUAAACAUGAUAUAUUAACGUCACAUGACAUAAAAUGACAAAUGACAUUUUAAUUAAUAACAGUUAGUUAACUAUUGAUUAUAACAAUUUAUUUGUUCCAAAAUAAAUGUUUAAUACUUGAUCAAACACAAUGAAAGAAUAAAAUUUAUUCAAAUUUUUUUAAGUAUUAUAUAUAUAUAUAUAUAUAUAUAUAUAUAUAUAUAUAUAUCAGUGUCAAUUAGUUAAAUUUACACCUUUUCAUAUUUUUUAUAUGAUUAAUAUGUUGUUACUUUCACUGUUGUAUUCCAUAUAUGCUCAAUUUACAUAGAUCAUGCAUGAAAAAUUUUAAAUCAAUUGAAAAUAUCUAAUUAUUUAUAUGAUAACAAUAAAAUUUUAACUGCUAAAUAUAUAUUAAAAAAUAAUAUUCUCUACCACUGUGAUACGGAUAUAUAUUACACUCCUUGAAACUUUAUAUGUACGAUUGGAUACAAAUAAAGUUAGCUUGCUAAAACAUAAAUGUAUAUUAAAUUAUAAAAUGGUGUAAAACUUAAUCAAUGUGUAACUUGAGCCCUCAUAUAUAUAUAUAAAAUUUUUAUGAGUAUUGCAUACAUGUGUAUGUAUGUAUAAAAGAGAUUCAAUAAAGGAUAAAAUAAUUAAAUAAAAGAAGAUCCACUGUAAAUAAUUCAUAAAUAAUAUUGAACUACAUUAAUGUUUUUUAGUCAAAAUAAAAAUUAUGUCCAAAUUUAUCAUUUUACUUUGGAUGAUGGACCAAAUUAUGAUCAUAUUUGAAUGAGUAUAAUUUUGUCACUAUACUUUUAAAUUGGUUAAAAAUAAUUAAAAGUUAUGAAAUAAACUAAAAAGUACAAUAAUAAAAAUUACACCUAUUCAAAAAUGAAUACUAAAUUUGAUCCAUCAUGUUAAGUAGAUUGGUCCUUUCAAAAAAAAUGUUAAGUAGAUUGGGGGUAAAUUUGAACCUUAUCUCAAACUACUCUGUGAAGUUUGUUUGUGAAAAUAUGGCAGCACAUACCCAAAUUAAAUUAGUAAAUAACAUAUACAUAUUCUAUAAUCAUGUUUUUCAAUUUUUUUUGUUUUUUCUCACCCAAGAAAAAGGUGUAUUAAAUCAAUAAAAGUACAAGAUUGGUGUAUUAAAUCAUGGUGUCCAACUAAUUAAUUUAUAUAUUGUUAUAUAUUUUUUGUUGUGAAACAGGAAUGAUAUUACUAAGAACAUUUUUGGGGAUAACUUGCUUGAUUAUAUUGGUUGUACGCAAAUUGAAAAGGAGGCAUUUGUCGAUGGAUGACAUGAUUGAGAAUUUUCUUCAAAGUCAAAACAAUCUAAUGCCUAUAAGAUAUUCUUAUUUUGAAAUAAAAAGAAUGAUGGAUGGUUUCAAGAAUAAAUUAAGACAAGGAGGAUAUGGCUCUGUGUUUAAAGGAAAACUUCGAAGUGGUCAACUUGUUGCGACAAAAUUGUUAAACAAAUCAAAAGCUAAUGGCCAAGAUUUCAUCAAUGAAGUUGCAACUAUUGAAAGAAUUCACCAUGUUGAUGUGGUAAGACUUGUUGGAUUUUGCGUGAAGGGAUCAAAACAAGCUCUUGUAUAUGACUUCAUGCAGAAUGGGUCCUUAGAUAAAAUUAUAUUUUCAACUGAAAGUAACACUUUGAGCUGGCAAAAAAUGUUUGAGAUUGCAUUGUGAGUGGCUCAAGGUAUUGAAUAUUUACAUAGAGGUUGUGAAAUGCAAAUUUUACAUUUCGAUAUCAUGCCACAUAACAUUCUUCUAGAUGAGAAUUUUAUCUCAAAAUUUUCAAAUUUUGGCCUUGCAAAGUUGUAUUCAGUGGAUGACAAUAUUGUCUCUUUUACAGCUACAAGAGGUACAUUAGGUAUAUGGCUCCUGAAUUGUUUUAUAAAAUAUUAGAAGCAUCUCAUAUGAAGCCGAUGUUUAUAGUUUUGGAAUGAUGUUAAUGGAAAUUGUCGGAAGGAAAAAAAAUGUGAAUGUCUCUGCUUAACAUUCAAGUCAAAUUUAUUUUCUAUCAUGGAUUGAUGAUCGACUUGAAGAAGGAGAUAUCAUAGAGCUUGGAGAUGUUACAGAGAAUGAAAACAAAAUUAUGAGGAAAAUGGUAAUAGUAGCCUUUUGGUGCAGAGAGAUGAAGCCCGCAGAUCGUCCUUCAAUGAGCAAAGUCUUGGAGAUGCUUGAAAGUGAAGUUGAGCUCCUUGAAAUGCCUCCCAAGCCUGCUUUCUCUUGAAAUGUCAACCAAAUCAUUUAGUGUUGAAUCAUAAGUAAUAUUUAAUAUUGUAUGUUAAGCAAUGUUUCACUACUUUAUUAUACUACUUUUAUAAUUUUUAUAGUAGAAACCUUAAGCUUGAGGCAUAAUCUUCUCUCUUCCUAAAAAAACAAAAAAAAAAAAACAAUAUAGAAUGGUGACGAAGAAUGUAUAUCAAGGAAAAAAGGAUAUUGAGUUGGAGUUUCGAGUGUGUGAAGGUGUUAUUUUAAGAGAGUUGUAAUGGUAUCUUGUAAGUAUUUUGCCUAUAUAAAAAGUCUUUUUGCUCAUAUAAAGGAUAAAGUCUUUAAAUACCAUUAUCUAUACAAUCAUUAUAUUAAUGCAAAUAAUUAACUUACUUUUUAACAAAAUUAAAAUAUUUCUGAACCAUGUUUCAAAUUAUAAUUUUUUUAUUUAAAAAUAUAAAUUAUUUAAGUUUUCUCUCUUAAUUAAAAAAGUCAAAUUUCAUCCAAUUCAAAAUUUUAUUUUAAUUGAUUCGAAAUCAAAUUCAAUUUAAUUCAAAUUAAAUAAAAAAAUUAAAAAUUUAAAUUUGAAAAUACAUGAAUUUAAAAUGAUAUUAAUUUUAGACGAUCCAAGUUCAACAUGACUCAAAUCUAAAACGAACAGAGCUCAUAAUGAUCCAAAACCCAAGAUUUAUUCGAUCCAAAACUUAUAAAAACUUAUAUUUAUAACUCCAAAAAAUCCAAAUUAUAAUUAAAUAUUUUUAUUUAAUAACUAAAUGAGUAAAUGAUUAUUUUUUAAGGGAAAAUUUUAAGACACACAAGCUCCUUCUCUCGUCAAUGCUUCUUUACUCAGAAACAGCUCGUAGGAAUGGCAUGGUCAACUACUCUGCUUCACCUUCAAUUCAAAUUCCCUCCGGUUUCUUCUCACCAAUUGCGAUGUUCCCUCCCCAAAAAAUCCCCAAUCUUCCUAAACCCUAACCCUGUAAUUCCCAAUUCUAAACCCCCCAAAAUGCAAUUCCUUCACAGACCCAACGCGUUUCCAGGCCACGGCGCAGUAUCAAGGGCCAUGGACAUCAUCCAAUCGUCGCCGCCCACGUGGCAAUCGGCCUUCCUCAGCAACCUCGUGAUCUUCGUCAUCGGAAGCCCACUUUUAGUAGCGGGGCUAUCUCUCUCCAGAAUUUGUGCUGCCUUCUUGCUUGGCACUCUCACUUGGCGCGCUUUUGGGUCUUCUGGGUUCCUCCUCGUUGCUUCUUACGUAAUAGUGAGUCCUCACAAAGUCUAUGGAUUUUAUUUGAAUUGUGGGAUUUAAGUUAAAUUUAGAAAUGGGGUUCUGAUUUUUGUUCCCAUUUGGUAUAAAGUUUACGCUUUGGAGGACAAGUUUCAUUGUUUGGUAAUAUGGCAAAGGAAAAGAAACUUAGUUUAUGUCAAAAAGAUUUCAUGUGAAGUAGUUUGUUAUUUAAGUGUGAUUUGUUUUUGUUUAAAGAAUUGGAUUACACUAGUGAAAUCACGUCAAAAUCAUAACCAAAAUAUUUUUUCCAAAAUUUCUUUAUUUUCAUUUGUUUUGCUCUUGGUGGGGGGCAGGUGGAGGAGCCAGGGAGAAUUUAUGGGUUCUCGCAGUUUUAGACUAGUUUGAAACGAUAUAGUAUUGUUUUUCCUGCUUUCCUUUCUAAUAAUGGCUUGUUUUACUUGCAAAAUGAAUCUUGAAUUAGUUCCUCCUUCCCUCUUCUGAUUUUCCCUACCCAUAUUUCUAGUUGAAGAUAAUAGUUUCAAAUCAUGCUUGAAAACUAUAUUACAAAAUACUUGUAAUAUCAAACAAUUUUGUGUGGCAUUCGAGUUUCUAAUUUGAAUGGAGAAAUAAUUGGGAUGGAAGUGGUAUUAAAUAAUUUAGAGGAAAGAAACCCGAAUGCCUUUUGCACCAAUACAAAGAAAAGAAAAGAAAACCUAGUACAAAACUUCGGAAGAUGCUUGAUUGUAAGCUGCUGGGCUUUUGAGGACCUGAGACUCCAUAAUACUUUAUAAUUCUCUAAAUCUUCAUGCAAUCUUACAGCUCUUUGUCAUGCCUCUAAAACAAAUGCGGUAAAACCAUGCUCAAUUGCUCAAAUUGUUAUGCUCAAUUGAGAACUCCUGACCUGUUAUGUGUGUGUGGAGAUGAUAACACCAAUGAAUGGCCUUGUUAUACGGAUGACCGCUCAUGAUAAUUGCUACUUCAAAAAUUAUUGGCUUAGAUUAUGCUGCUGUGUUUUGAAACUUGUUGGCAUGCCUCACGAAUGCUGCAAAAUGUGCAGAAGGUUUCUGAGAUCUUGCUGCCAUCUAAGAAGAAAGAAUGGUGAAAUUGUACAGGUACUAUGAAUAUGAUGUAAUGUUUAGCUUUUUUAUAGGGACUUCCUUUUUGUAUAGUGAACUUGGUUGCAUUGGAAUGAGUCUGUUCUCUGGGAAGAAUCACUGUUCUGAAAAUUGUUAGGUCUGAUCACAAUUGCAACCAGGAGCGGCAUGCCUUGCUUUUCUUCUCAUAGGGCAUCAGGGUAUCCCAUCAGGGUUCUUUUUGUGAACCCCUCUUAUGAAAUAACAUCUUCUAUGCCUUUCCAAAAAAAAAAAAAGUAACAAUCACAUGGCAUAAUUUUUUCUUACAAUAUGAGAGUACUGCAUCAGAGUUUCUUAAUGCAUUAAGAAAAGUUAGAGAUGAGGUCUAAGAAAAUAUCAAUUUCAAGAAGAAACAAAUAACACUAGAAUCAUAUUUUACAAAAAUAUCAUAAUUGAGUCAUGUAUAUAUAUAAUUUUGAUGUAUAAGAAAAUUAUUAAUUUAUAUAUCAAGUGAGAUCUAUGUGUUUUUUUUCAAAAUGUAUUAUCUUAUUAAUUUAACAAAUUAUUAAUUUAUCAUGUUGAUCUCAAAUCAGGACCAACCAAAAUUAUUAAUUUAUCAAGCAUUAUUUAUAGACGUUUUGUUGUACUUCUCUGUAAUUCACUCUAAAUAAAAGGGUAUGUUGAAACAAGCGGAAUUUAGAUCCCUUAUGGUUCUUGCUACAUUUAAGUACUAUUAAUGUCAUUUAUGCUGGUUAUAAAGAUCUGACAUUUUAUUUAGAAACAAAAUUUGUAGAGUGUCAAGCUUUAAUAGCUUUUUUUUUGUUGCUUUUUAAUGUUUAUAUUCGUUGCUAUAUACUAUUUUUUUUCCCUAUCAAACCAUUCUUUCAUGCUUACAAAUUUAAAUUUGUGGUGUGCAAAAAUUGUUGAUAUAUUUCAAAAUCAAAUGUUAUGUCACAUAAUAAAAAGCUAUUUUAGCUCAAAAGUUGUCACAUAAAAUGACAUAGUGUGACUAUUGAAUUGUAGGUAGGUUUUCAUAUGAAUGGUUAUGUCUCUAGGUAAAAUGACAUUCAAAAAUUAUGAGACAAAUUGAAAAAAUACUAUAGCUCAAAAGUUUAAGAGCUUGUUUGGCCUAGUUUUUUUUUAACUUAAAAGCUAUUAUUAAGCUCUUAUGAAAAAUAAUAGCUUUUAAAAAUUAAGCUAAAAUUAUUUGAUAAAUUGUUUAACAAAAUAAAUUAUAUAAGCUCUAAUUUCGGUUAAAAUUACCAUAAAGGGUAUUCAUGCUAUCUUCAAUCACCUAAUAAGCUAUAAUGUAAUGCUUCAAGUUUGUAUAUAAUUUCAGAUAUUAAAAUCGAAGAAAUCAAUAAAAAAAUGAAUAAUUUUCAAACUUAUAUAGUAGCAAUAGUAUUAGACUUUUGUUGAUCUAACAAGCAAUCGGACCAUGAUGCUUCAAUUCCCAAAAAAGAAGAAAAGGGAGGAAACGGUGUAUUUAAUAUUAAAAUCUUUUUUAGUGAAAAAAAAAAUAGAAAACCUUUAAAUAGUUUUUGAAUGCAGUUUUGAAUUUUAGAUUUUUUUUCUCUCAAUUUUUGUAAGAACAAAAAAAUUUUAAAUUUUGUUAUUCAAUGGUUGGUCUUCUGUUUUUAAUUUUUUAGUAGUCUUUAGAGAGGUAGAGGAGAGGGAGAUAGUAAUUUUACGUUGGAGAAUGGUAAUUUGCAGAGGGAAGAAGAGGAGAGGGAGAUUAAUUUAGAGAUGGGUAUUUCCUGAAAUUAAUGUAUUUUUAAAAGAAGAAAAAAAAAAGCUCUUCCUUGGAGCUUUUUUUUAAAGCUCUUUUUUUUUUUUUUAAAUUUUGUUCUUAAAAAAAAACUGUUUUUUUUUUUAAGAGCUUCUCAAAAAAGCUUUUGGUUUUAAAAGGUAGAUAAGGUGAAAAAAAACAGGCCAAACAUGUACUAAAUAUGAAAAGUUAUUGUUUUAAAUUAUAACUCAAAGAUUAUGUUUUAUGGAAUGAAUAGUUCUCCUUUCAUAAGAUGAUUAUUAAGUGCUUGUUUGGCCUAGUUUUUUUUCAGCUUAUCUAUCUCUUAAAAAUAAAAGUCAGGCCAAACAUAAAAUUUUAAAAAGCUCUUAAAAAAAAGUAGCUUUUAUUAAAGAACAAAUUUUUGAAAAAAGAGCUUCAAGGAAAAGCUCAUAUUAAGAGUUUUUUCUUCUCUUUUUUUAAAAAUGCAAGAGAAUUUUUAUUUUUGUUCCAAAAAUAUCAUCAUCUGUUAAAAUAAUUACAAUAUUACCCUCUCAAAAAAAGAAAUACCCUUUAUGAUAAUUUUAACAAAAAUUUAUAACUUAUAAAAAGAAAUUUACUAAAUAAUUUUAGCUUAAUUUUAAAAGCUAUUAUUAUUCAUAAGAGCUUCAUAAGAGCUUUUAAGCUAAAAAAAAGCCAGGCCAAACAAACUCNUCAGGCCAAACAUAAAAUUUUAAAAAGCUCUUAAAAAAAAGUAGCUUUUUUUAAAGAAUAAAAUUUUGAAAAAAAGAGCUUCAGGAAAAGCUCCUAUGAAGAGCUUUUUCUUUUCUUCUUUUAAAAAUGCAAGAGAAUUUUUAUUUUUGUUCCAAAAAUAUCAUCAUCUGUUAAAAUAAUUACAAUAUUACCCUCUCAAAAAAAGAAAUACUCUUUAUUAUAAUUUUAACCAAAAUUAUAACUUAUUAAAAAAAAUUUACCAAACAAUUUUAGCUUAAUUUUAAAAGCUAUUAUUUUUCAUAAGAGCUUUAUAAUAGCUUUUAAGCUAGAAAAAAGCCAGGCCAAACAGACUCUUAAACAAUACCUUUAUCUUAGAGUUGUAUCUAGCAAAAUGUAAAGAUGUCUUUUAGACAAAAUAGUGCCUUAAUGAAAGGGUUGUGUUCUUGAAGAAGAGACACUUGCAAGCCUAUAUAAAGGGCCUGUUGCCAACCAUUUUGACAUAUCAAAUAAAAAACAAAACAAAAGCAGAAAAAUCAAGAGUAAGAAAAGUGUUAUGUUCUAUUAACAUAAACACUUAAGUUCCCAUCAACUACAAAAGCGUCCAAAUUUUUUAUAAUCUACUUGUUGUAGAGAGUAGGCUCUAAGUCCUAACAACUUUACAAACCCUCGAGUGUAUCUAGUGGUCUACUCUUGUAAAGUGCAAGACGAAGUUAGACAUUAGCUUCAUUGUAUCUCUAAGGCUAUUUGCAUUAUUCCCUUUUGCAUACCGAGUGGUGGGGACUAAAUAAGUCUUAAAGAUAACAUCUAUUGAAAGACUCGCCUUAAAGUCAAGUUUUUCGAUUCUUAAAUUCCAUCUAAACCCCAUUUGCACCAACAAAAAUGAGCAGGUACCUACUUUACUUUAUUAUUCUACUUUUAUUAUAUAAUUUUUAUAGUCUCCUUUUUCAUCUUAUAUAUGGAAUCAAAUCCAUAUAGAAACCUUAAGCUUGAGGCAUAAGCUUCUCUCUUAUGAAAAUAAAAUAAAAGUCAAGAGCAGUAUAUAUACCAUUGUGAAUGAAUAAAGUAUAAAAACAUGGUGCCUUUUGAGAUACAAAACAUUGUGAAUGCGACAAGAAGUAUUAGUUGUAAUGUGUUAAUGGUCAUUUUUUAAUCAAAUUAAAAAUGUUACUAUUAGCAAUAUCAAGAAUUGCCAGGGAGAAAUUCAUUGAUAAAAUGACAAAUACCUAAAUUCUCUUCAUUGGCAACUUUACUAAAAAUCACUUUAAAAAAAAAAUUAGUAAAAGAUUUUCCAUAUUAUCUCUAUAUAUAAUACAAUAUCAAAAUUUAGUAUUAUAAAAUAUUUUAUUUUAUGCUUUUUUAGUACUAACAUAUUUUAAACAAUGUCAUUGUUUAUUUUAUUAUUACAUGGACACUACUUAUGUCAAACCCUGUUCUAUAUAAUAAUUACGACAUCAUUUACAUGCUCAAUAGAAUAGUUGCAUAUUUAGGAAGUUUGAGAAAUCGUUAAAAGACGAUAUUGCCCCUAAUGGUAUCAUUAAGUCGAUUAAGCCUCGAACUAGUUCAAAUAGGAAUUUUAAGGUGAAAUUCAAAAUUUUACAGUCAAAGAAUGACUUAAAAUGGUGAUUUGGAGUUCGAGGAUCAAUUUGGAGUCAAAUCGGAAUUUUUGCUAUCUAGGGGCAAAAUGGUCAUUUGCCACCUAGAGACAAAAUGAAAAUUUUUAGAAAAGAUUUUUUUGGCCCCAUUUGACUCAUUGGAGUAUGAUUUGAGUAUUGGAGUAUGAUUUGAGGUUUAGAAGUGAAAAAUUUUAAUUUCGGUAUAGUUUAGAGUAUAAGGGUAAAAUGGUAAUUUUACCACCCUAGGGGCAAAACAGUAAUUUUUCACCACCAGGACACUUGUCCAGCACAUGGUCUUCCCUUAUCCUCAUUUUGACCUUUGACUAAUCAUGUGGUGGAGAUAAAAGGUUUAAAAUUUUUAAAGUUUUAAAAAUGGACCAAUGGAAACAUGCCACGUGUCAAGCAAGGAUAUUUUAUUAUUUUCUAUAAAAAUCAGCCCAUAUUUAUCCCAUUCUUCUUCUCCAUAUUCGGCCAAGACAAAAGGAAAGAAAGGAAAAACAAGAACAAAACCUAGGUGGAGGAUUUCAAGAGAAAAAGUGUGGAAAAUCAAGGAAAACAAGUGAAAAAGGUAAGAUUUUUCAAUUUAAACUUGAAAUCUAUUUUCCUUACGCAUUUCUCUUUAUUUUUCAUGCUUAAAUUACAUGUUUUCAUGAUGAAUUCAUGACUGAUCAAAACGGGUAUGGAGAGAGAAAGAUGUUGGAUUGAAUUGAUUUUAAGAUAUGUUAGUGUUUUUAGUUAGUUUAGCAUAUUUAGAAGCAAAACAAUAAGAAAAGAAUCCAUUUUUCCCAUGAAUCAUCAUUGGCCGAAUCUUCCUUCAUGUGUGUGGGUGGUGGAUUGUUAUUAUUUCAAGAGAAAUGGCUUAGAAAAUGAUGAAUAAUGGUGAAAAAAAUUAAGUAGGAAAAAUCACUGUGUUAGUGCACUGUAAUGGCCGAAUUUUUCCAUGAAGAAAUGGGAGGGUUUUGAUGCUGAAAUUGGUGUUAUUUGAAUAAUGUUUGGUGAAUUGAGGUAUUAGAAAUGAAAUGGAGCAAUUUGGAGCCAAAUCGGACACAAUUGUCAUUUAAUCGGGUAAUAGGCCGAAUUAGGUCAACACCGCAUUUAAGCGGUAGUCGGAUAAGUUGCAUAUCAUAUCAUGCAUAUACACUGAGCCUGAAUUGAUUUUAUAAUGGUCAAGCAUUAAUGUGGUGAAUUAUGUAUUGUACAUUGUGGAUAGGUAGUGAGCAUAUUACACUAGUAAAAGUACAAAGAUUGUGCUUGAAGACUGGGAUUAGGAGUACAUCGACUCCUAGAACUGUGAGUAAACUUAUUAUUGUCUUAAUUAUCUAGAGUAGUUUUAUACAAUUAUGUGAUUUUAUAGAAAAUGAGUUUAAAUGGUAAAUUGCUAUGUUUUAGGAGAAAUUGUGAUUUUAUAAAAUGAUUUUAUAAAUUUUUUGAAAAAUUGAAUACUAGUUUUGAAAAUAGAGUAAUUGGAAACUGCCUGCUUGUGUUAUAAAUUGUGUUUUAAAUUAUAUGGCUUAUAGCAAUAUGUGAGCAUGAAUGGCAAAGUCAGUAUUUGUAUUAAAAUUAUAUAUACUAUGUAUUCAGCCUUGAAAUGCUAGAUUUUGAUAAAUUACCAUGUCAUGCAGAUAAGGAUUUUAUAAAUUAUAUGGUAGAUAAAAUAAUCCAUAAUCCCUACAGUGGAGGUUUUGUGGACCAGCCUAAGAGAGGGGGCACAGAAUCAGAUAUACCUUACCUCGAUCGGAGAGCCGUGUGAAGGGUGUCUCUGGAGGUAAAGAUUUGAGUGCACUUUACGUGGACCAUCACGUGAGAGUGAGACUCAGCCAACGCCAAGGCAUGGCUAGAAUUUCAAAUGUAAAGACAUUUAACAGCCUUGGUGGUCUCGGUCAGAUGCUUAAGCCAAGGCAUCCCCGGGAAUGAUUUUGGCAGAGCCAAGUUUUGUGAGAUAGAUAAGCCAUGUUGAAUUAUUGAGUAAACUGAAUAUUCAUGUUAUGAAACAUAUAUUGAAAAAAUAUGUAAAAACCCUUAAAUUUUUAUUCUUUUAUUAUAACUAAACAAGUCGCAAACUCUUAAUUUUAAUAAAAAAUUUAACAAUCAUCAAAUUUAUUAUCAAUUGAUAUUUUUUUUGUCUAAUUAAUAUAUGAUAUGAUAAUUAAUAUAAUUGCGUGAUGGUAGACAUAACCCCAUAAAAAUUAAUGUGAAAUGAGUCAUGCUAUCAUGUCAUCAAGUUAUGCCGACAAGAAAAUGUCAACUAAAUUUUAAAAAAUGAUUGGAAUUUUUAAUCUUCCUCAGAAUUUUUUAUACAUAUGAAAAGAAAAUGUAAAGUAUGGAACUGAUUAAGAAUCCCAAUCCUCUGUCACAUUCGUUGACUUUUCAAAUGUAGACUUGGCUUUAAUAUUAAAGACAAGAGAACACUUUUUCACAAACUAAUCAUGCCCUUAAUCUCCUUCUCUCUCACGGAAACUUUAGGCUGCUGAGAGCAAAACUUCCAUUACUUUGCCUCUUGGCUUUGGCUUUUUUUCUUCUCCUUCAUGCAUGCAUCGCUUGAGUCAAAAACAAGCACUGUGGCUUCUGUUUCUGUGGCUCUUGUUUCUGCGGAAACAUUAACAUCAAUUACCCUUUCCGUUAAACUUAGAUUUGAUUUCAAUUGCAGCCACAGAAAUAAUUAGCAAAGCAAUGAAGAUAACAUUGUCCUAAGAGUUAAUGUUUCUCGUUAAACUUUUUUAUAUAUACUCCUCCACAGAAAAAUACUGUUGUUAACGUGUGAGGAUUUUUAAGUAUUCCGCAAUAUUUGGUGUUGUUUAGUUUUUGAAAAAUAUUUAUUGUUUUUAGCAUAAAUAAAUUUGACAAAUAAACAAAUAUGAGAAAAAUAAAUUUUUAAUUUUGAAUUCUAAUUUUAAAAAGUGGACAAUAUUUUUAAAUUACUUUUUUAAUUUUGUGUAUAAAUUUGUAUCAUAAAAUUUAAACUCGACAUUUUAAUGUAAAAUUUAAAGAGAAGGAUUUAAAACAUUUUUUCGUUUGGGCCCGGGGAAUCCCUUGCUUUUGGCUAUGGUCUUUAUUUACCUUUUUUGCACCUUUUUUUUUCGAAACUAUUAAUUCACAAACACUAUUGGAACGACGCGGCACGACAGCAAUACCACGACAAUCUACGAUUCAGAUUGACAUUACUAAUUUAUUAUUAUAAUAAUAAAUAUAUUAAAAAUUUUCUAAACUAUUUAAAAUAAUUUAAUUAAGUCUUCCUCUUUUUAUUUUGUUCAAUUAAACUCUUAUAUUUUUAUGUUGAAAUAAAUAAACAUUUAUAAUUAAUGGUUAACUAACUUUUAUUAAUUCAAAUUCAACUUGUCAUUUUAUACCCAAGUGACGUUGACAUGAUGUAAACAUGAAAGGUAAAAAUGUCAUGUCAGCAUAACAUGUUAAUAUCAUGUGACAUAAAAUAAUAAGUAGAAUUUUGAUUAAUAACGGUUAGUUAAUUAUUAAUUAUAAUGGAUUAUUUGGUUUAAAAUAGAAAUACAAGAAUUUGAUUGUACGCAAUAAAAGCUUAAAAGUUUAUUUGAAUUUUUCUAAAUAAUUCAGAGACAUUUUUAAAUAUUAUGCAUAUAUAUAUAUAUGUGAAAUUAAUUAAAUUUACAACUUUCAUAUUUUUUAUACAAUUUAUAUUUUGUUGAUAUAAUCGUUGUAUUCCAUAUAUACUUUAUUUACAUAGAUCAUGCAUGAAAAAUUUUAACUUAAUUAAAACUUUCUAAUUAUUUGUAUGAUAACAAUGAAAUUUUAAUCGUUAAAUAUAUAUUAAAAAACAAUAUUCCCCACCAAUGCUCUCCGGGUAUCAUUCUGACUAGAAACUUUAUAUGUAUGAUUAGGUGCAAACAAUGUUAGCUUGCUAAAAGUUAAUUGUAUAUGAAAUUAUAAAAGGUGUAAAACUUAAUCAAUGUGUGUAUAUAUAUAUAUAUAAUUUUUAUAAGUAUUGCAUAUAUGUAUACAUAUGUAUAAAAGAGAUUCAAUAAAAGAUAAAAUAAUUAAAUAAGAGAAGAUCCACUACAAAUGAUUCAUAAAUAAUAUUGAACGACAUUUAUUAGAUUUUUUAGUAACAUAUUUUAUGUUGUUACGAUGUUUUUUGGUCAAAAUAAAAAAUUUGUCCAAAUUUAUCAUUUACUUUGGGUGAUGGAUCAAAUUAUGAUCGUAUUUGAAUGAAUAUAAUUUUGUCACUAUACUUUAAAAUUGGUUAAAAAUUGAUCAAAAGUUCUGAAAUAAACUAAAAGGUACGAUAAUAAAAAUAACACCUGUCAAACCCUGUUCUAUAAAAUAAUUACGACGUCAUUUACAUGCUCAAUAGAAUAUUUGCAUAUUUAGGAAGUUCAAGAAAUCGUUAAAAGACGAUAUUACCCCUAAUGGUACUAUUAAGUUGAUUAAGCCUCGAACUAGUUCAAAUAGGAAUUUUAAGAUGAAAUUAAGAGUUUCAUAGUUCAGGGAUGACUCAAAAUGGUAAUUCGGAGUCCGAUGAUCAAUUUGGAAUGAAACCGGAAUUUUCACUAUCCAAAGGUAAAAUGGUCAUUUGCCACUUGAGGACAAAAUGAGAAUUUUAAAAAAGAUUUUUUGGCCCCAUUUGAUUUAUUGGAGUAUGAUUUGAGUAUUGGAGUAUNNNNNNNNNNNNNNNNNNNNNNNNNNNNNNNNNNNNNNNNNNNNNNNNNNNNNNNNNNNNNNNNNNNNNNNNNNNNNNNNNNNNNNNNNNNNNNNNNNNNNNNNNNNNNNNNNNNNNNNNNNNNNNNNNNNNNNNNNNNNNNNNNNNNNNNNNNNNNNNNNNNNNNNNNNNNNNNNNNNNNNNNNNNNNNNNNNNNNNNNNNNNNNNNNNNNNNNNNNNNNNNNNNNNNNNNNNNNNNNNNNNNNNNNNNNNNNNNNNNNNNNNNNNNNNNNNNNNNNNNNNNNNNNNNNNNNNNNNNNNNNNNNNNNNNNNNNNNNNNNNNNNNNNNNNNNNNNNNNNNNNNNNNNNNNNNNNNNNNNNNNNNNNNNNNNNNNNNNNNNNNNNNNNNNNNNNNNNNNNNNNNNNNNNNNNNNNNNNNNNNNNNNNNNNNNNNNNNNNNNNNNNNNNNNNNNNNNNNNNNNNNNNNNNNNNNNNNNNNNNNNNNNNNNNNNNNNNNNNNNNNNNNNNNNNNNNNNNNNNNNNNNNNNNNNNNNNNNNNNNNNNNNNNNNNNNNNNNNNNNNNNNNNNNNNNNNNNNNNNNNNNNNNNNNNNNNNNNNNNNNNNNNNNAACCUUCAAUGGCCGAACCCUAUGUGAAGUGUAGAAGUAAUGAAUUGAUUUUGUGAUCAAGUGAAUUGGUUGAAAAAUUGAUGAAAUGAUGAUUUAUGGUGAGAAAAUGGAAUGGGAAAAUUUUUAGUGAUAGUGCACCACAAUGGCCGAAAUUUUCAAGAAGAAUUGUGAGGGUUGUCAGGCUGAAUUUUAGAUUAUUGGAAUUGUAUUUAGUGAAUUGAAAUAUUAGAAAUGAAAUAGAGCAAUUUGGAGCAAAAUCGGACACAAUUGUCAUUUAAUCGGGUAAUAGGCCGAAUUAGGUCAACACCGCAUUUAAGCGAUAGUCGGAUAAGUUGAAUAUCAUAUCAUUCAUAUUGUCACGAACCGGAACUCCCAUCGAGCCCGUGACAACAGCCGCGACGUCUCGAUCGACAUUCAUUACCCGGAAUGUCAACCGGAACCCGGCAAGGUUUUAAUAUCAGCUUCUCAUUUUCCCUGUGGGUAACUGUUUUCAAAUACCACAUUCUAAAAGAUUUUAAAUUGUUUCCAACUUAAGCAAAUAAAAUAAUAAUUUUCAUCUCACAAGGGAAUUUUGGUCAUUUAUCCCAAAAAUCUCAAAAUCAUCUAAAAAUAUAGUAUGUAAGUGGAAAACACAUAUUUCAUAAUCAAAAAUAAUUUUGGAUGUCUAAAACAUUCGUUUAAAAUGGAAUUAUGACUGUUAUAAUAAAAUAAAAAUAUUAAAUAAAAUAUUCAAUUUCCACAUAAAACGAUAUUUUAAGAACAUUGCAUAAAUAAUUUUUAUAGUGUAAAAGCAAAAUAAAUUCUUACAUACCGUAAUACAGAUAACCAAAGUAUACAAUUUAAUUUACAGUGACAAGUGGGCCCACGAAUGACCAAAAGUAUCAAAAGAAAUGAACCUACAGUUUUUGGAUGUGGCAAGUUCAACUAUAAUCAUCGCCGAUAUCAGUUAUCUACAAUCUAUUCUGAGCCUGAAAUAGGUGGAAAGGAGGAUGGUGAGAUUAUAAAAUCCCAGUGAGUAAACAAACAUCACCUAAAAUAUCUAAAGUCGAGUAAAAGGAGACUAUUAAAACAUUUCAUCAAACUGUAAUUUAUCAUCUUUCAACCUAUUUCAACCAAAUGAAAUCAAUUUAUUUAAAGCAAGUAAUCAGUAUGGCUUAUGAAUUUCUUAAAAAGCUUGGCUCAUGCCAAAAAUUAUUAUCAUACUCAGUUAUCUGGGAUACCUUGGCCGAGAGCUAUCCCAACUGAGUCCGCCAAGGCUAUUAGAAAGUCGUGUUUUUAUUUUGAAAACAUAGUCGUUCCUUGGCGUUGGCCGAGUUCCCCUUCACGUGGUGGUUUAGCGUGAAGUGAAUUCUAAAAGUUAUAUCUCGGGAGUUACCCUACUCGCCUCUCCAACCGAGGUAAAAAUAUAACAGGAUUCUGUGCUCCUCUAAUAGGCUAGUCCACAGAACCCAACCUACUGCAGCAGGUCAAACCCACCAUACAAUAAAAUUUUGACAGCAUGACAGGGCUAAUAUAUUACUACCCAACCUGCAAGGGUAAAAUAAAGCAAUUCAUACAAUUCAUAAAAAUACAGCCCAGCCAGUCAUGCCAAUACAAUAACAUAAGCCAUUGAUUCAAUUUUAAAUUUACAACAUAUCAGUAGUCUCCAAUUACUCUAUUUUCAAAAUCAUUAUUUCGUUUCAAGACAAUUUAUAAAAUAUUUUCAUUUAAACUCAUUUUGUUUACAAAAUAUAAAAAUUUACCAUUUGAACUCAUUUUCAUAAAAUUCACCAAAACCGAAUAAAAACAUACUUUAGAUAAUUAAAAUGAUGGUAAGGUUACUCACCGUGUCUAAAGUGGAGAUUUUCGAAAUACUCAGACUACUGGUCUUCGGGUGCAAUUCCCUUGCCUUUAUCGGAAGACUCACCACCUUGACACAGUGCAAAAUCGAGAAAUUCACCACAUUGGUACUAAAUUGAAAUUAAACUAAUUUAGACUACUAAUGCUUGAUAUGGAAUGCAAAAAUGUCUAAAUUUUUGCCUAAAUGCGGUGUUAGCCUAUUUCGGUUUUUUACUCGAUAAAUCGAUAUACGCGUCCGUUUAAACUCCAAAUUAAUUUUUUUCAGUUUCUAUACCCCAAUUGCACCCAAAUUGACUUAAUGUCCCUCAGUGUGGUGCAAAUUAUCAGUCUCGAUAGCAAAUUACAAAAAUACCCCUAGUGGGUAAAAAUUUGUAUUUUUGCUCCUAAAAUUCUCAUUAUUUUUCUAGGCUCAUAAUUCAUUAUUAUUUAUCAUAAUUCCUCAAAUAAACAUCAAGAUCAGCAGCCAAUAUUCCCCUAGAAAAUUCGGCAUAAUGGGUUUCAAUGGGAGAAAAUUAUAUCUCUAGCUUAUUUUUGCUAUAUUUCAAUAUAACUUAACUAAAAUCGCUUAAUUCAAUUAAAAUCAACCAAAAAUCAAGCUCAAAACUCAUCCAUGGAAGUUUGGCCAGCAUGGGUGUCCAUACCCACUUUCUAAUUUUGCAUGGAAAUGAGAAAAAAAUGCAUGGGUAGUGAAAAUCACAAGGAAAAUCAAUGAAAUUUACCUUUUUAAUGCUUGAUUUCUUGAUUUCUCUUGAUUUUCCCCAAAUUUUCAGGUAGGGUUCUUAUUUUUUUCCCCCUUUUCUCUCCUGGUUUGGACGGCUGAAGAAGAUGAGAAUUCUGAAAUUUUUACCUUUUUAAAGGCUAAAAUAAAUAAUAUUAUUUUAGUCAUUUUUUUAAUGUUUUAUUAAUUUCUUAAAUUCUAGCCAUCCAUUUGUUUCCAAAUUUUCACCAUACACUUGUCCCACAUAUCCAUAGCUUAGAUAAAAUUCUCAGACUUAUCCAAACUCUUGGUGGAGUAAUUUUUGAAAUUUACACUUUUACCCCCGUAAAAGUCAAAAAUUACAUUUUUGCCCCAAAAACUGAAAAAUUGCCCCUAGACAUAUUUUUCAUCCCUUAUACUCAUACCAUUCUCCAAUUUGUCAAAUUUGAUCUAAAUUCUCUCAAAAUCUCAAAUUUUAUCCGCUAGUGGUAAAAUUACGAUUUCGCCCCUACACUCUAAAAAUCACCGAAAUUAAACUUUUUCACUGCCAAACCCUCAAAUUAUACUCCAAUACUCAAAUCAUACUCCAAUAAGUCAAAUGGGGCCAAAAAAAUUCUUUUCUAAAAAUUCCCAUUGUGUCCAUGGGUGGCAAAUGACCAUUUUACCCCUGGACAGUGAAAAUUUCAAUUUGACUCCAAAUUGAUCCUCGAACUCCAAAUCACUAUAUUAAACCAUUCUGGGACUUUAAUAUUCUUAAUUUUAUUUUAAAUUCUCUAUUUGAUCUAGUUCGAGGCUUAAAUUAACUUAAUUGUAUCAUUUGGUACAUUGUCGUCUUUUAACGAUUUUUCUUUCGGGGCUUUCCAAGUAUGCAAGCAUAUUGUCAAUCAUAUGAAUGACAUGACAAGUAUUUUAUAAGGUCGGGCUUGACACAUAUACACCGAGCCUGAAUUGAUUUUAUAAUGGUCAAGCAUUGAUGUGGUGAAUUAUGUAUUGUACAUUGUGGAUAGGUGGUGAGUAAAUUACACUGAUAAAAGUACAAAGAUUGUGCUUAGAGACUGGGAUUAGGAGUGCAUCGACUCCUAUAACUAUGAGUAAACUUAUUAUCGUCUUAAUUAUCUAGAGUAGUUUUAUACAAUUGUGUGAUUUUAUCAAAAAUGGGUUUAAAUGGUAAAUUGCUAUAUUUUAGGAGAAAUUGUGAUUUUAUAAAAUGAUUUUAUAAAUUUUUUGGAAAAUUGAAUACUGGUUUUGAAAAUAGAGUAAUUGGAGACUGCUUGUGUUGUAAAUUUAUGGUUUUAAAUUGAAUGGCUUAUGACAAUAAAUGAGCAUGAAUGGCUAAACUGAUUUUUGGUGUUAGAAUUAUUUGUACUGUGUAUUCAGCCUUGAGAGGCUAGGUUGCGAUAAAUUGUCAUGUUAUGUAGAAAAAGAUUUUAUAAAUCAAGUGGUAAAUAAAGUAAUCCAUAGUCACUACAGUGGUGGGGGUUUUCGUGGACUGCCUAUGAGAGGGGCACGGUAACCCAAUUAUAUAUUUACCUCAAAGGGGAGAUGUUGGAUGAAGUAUCUUUAGAGGUAAAGAUUUGAGUGCACUUCACGUGGACCACCGCGUGAGAGUGAGACUCGGCCAACACCAAGGCAUGGCUAAAAUUUCGGAUGUAAAGACAUUUAAAAGCCUUGACAGACUCAGUUGGGAUAAUCCUCAAUCAAGGUAUCCCUGAUAACUGAGUAUGAGAAUGAUUUUUGGCACGAGCUAAGCUUUUCAGGAAAUCAUAAGCCUAGUUGUUUAUUUGAUUGAAAUGAGUUGAAAGGUAAUGAAAUUACAAUAUGAUGACUUAUUUUAAUUUGUCUCCAUUUACUCGCCUUUAGAUAGUUUAGAUGGUGUCUGUUUACUCACUGGGAUUUUAUAAUCUCACCACCCUCCUUUCCUCACAUUUUAGACUCGAGGAAUUCCAUAGUUAGCUGACUUUGACAAAGACCUUCAUUUGGACUUGAAUCGGCAAAAGCUAUAGGUUUUCAGCUUCUGAUGUAUUUUGGUUAGAUGUGGGCCCACGUGUCACUGUAAAAGUAAUUUUAUGCUUUGGUUAUUUGCUUUAUAGUAUAUAUGAAUAUAAUUAACUUUUACGUUAUAAGAAUUAUUUACCGAUAGCUUUAUAAAAAUUAUUAUACAAGAAAAUAGUUUAUUUUAUUGAAUAUUUUUAUUAUAUUCAAAUGGUCAAAUUUUCACUUCAAAUGAACGUUUUAGAUACUUAAUUUGUUUUCAAAUCACUAAAUAUAUAUUUUUUGCUUACCUACUACAUUUUUAGCAAGUUUUGAGAUUUUUGAGAAAAAAUGACGAAAAUGCCCCUGUGAGCCAGAAAACAAUAUGUUAUGUUUUGAUUUGGAAAUGACUCGUAAUCCUUUGAAUUACGAUAUUUGAUAACUAUUGCUCAUCGGGGAAGUGCAAAAGCUGAUACGAGAGCUUUACGAGGUUUCGAUUGGCAUUCGGGGUGAAGAAUGUCUGUCGAGGCUUCGCGACGGUUGUCACGGGCUCGAUGAGAGUUUCGGGUCAUGACAACACCCAUUCAAAAAAUGAGUAGUAAAUUUGAUCCAUUAUGCUAAGUAGAUUGGUGGUAAAUUUGAACCUUAUGUCAAAUUAUUCUAUGAAGUUUGUAUGUGAAAAUAUGGCAGCUAGCACAUACCCAAAUUAAAUUUGUAAAUAACAUAUACAUGUUCUAUAAUCAUGUUUUCCAACUAAUUGAUUUAUAUAUUGUUUGUUAACUCUUUUUUUUUAAGAAACAGAAAUUCUUUUACUAAGAACUUUUUUGGGAAUAAUUUGUUUAAUUGUGUUGGUUAGAUGAAAAUUAAAAAGUAGCAUUUGUCGAUGGAUGACAUGAUUGAAAAUUUUCUUCAGAGUCAAAACAAUUUAAUGCUUAUAAGAUAUUCUUAUUUUGAAAUAAAAAGAAUAACUGAUGGUUUCAAGAAUAAAUUAAGUCAAGGAGGAUAUGGUUCUAUGUUUAAAGGAAAACUUCGAAGUGGUCAACUUGUUGCAAUAAAAUUGUUAAACAAAAAAAAAAGGUAUCACCCAAGAUUUCAUCAAUGAAGUUGCAACUAUUCGAAGGAUUCAUCAUGUUAAUGUGGUAAGACUUAUUGGAUUUGGCGUGAAGGGAUCAAAAUAAGCUCUUGUAUAUGACUUCACGAAGAAUGGGUCAUUGGAUAAAAUUAUAUUUUCAACUAAAAAUAACACCUUGAGUUGGCAAAAAUGUUUGAGAUUGCAUUGGGGGUGGCUCGAGGUAUUGAAUAUUUACAUAGAGGUUGUGAAGUGCAAAUUUUACAUUUUGAUAUCAAGCCACAUAGCAUUCUUUUAGAUGAGAACUAUACUCCAAAAGUUUUAGAUUUUGGCCUCACAAAAUUGUAUUCAGUGGAUGAUGAUGUUAUUUAUCUCAUAGUAGCAAGAGAUACGAUAAGUUAUAUGGCUCCAGAAUUGUCACGACCCGGAACUCCCAUCGAGCCCAUAACAAUCGUCGCGAAGUCUCGUUAGACAUUAUUUACCCUAAAUGCUGAUCGAAACCUCGUAAGGCUUUCGUAUCAGUUUUCUUACCUCCCCUGUGAUCGACAGUAACUAAAAUCGUGUUUUGAAACGAAAUGGACCAUUUUUCCAUCCAAAAACAAUGAAAAUUUAUUUCUGCCUCACAGGGGUAUUUUAGUCAUUUUUUUUCAAAAAUACGGAAACCCUUUAAAGUAGAUAACUGAAGUAUAAAAUUACUUUUCAGUGAUACGUGGGCCCCCAACUGACCAAGAAGGUGUAGGGCUACGAACCCUUACUUUCUAGGAUGCAACUCCGAGAUUAAUUCUCGUCUUAAUCAACUAUCAACAAACUGUCUUGAGCCUGAAAAAUGGAUAGAAAGAGGGGUGAGAUUACAUAAUCCCAGUGAGUAAACAAUUACCAUCAAAAACAUCUAAAGCCGAGUAGACGGAGACAAUAUAAAAACGUUAUAUCUCAAUAAUGUUCAUAACGCAAAAUUCGUUUCAAUCUAUACCAAACAAUUUCUUUUCGUCAAAAUUUCCCGGCUUAUGAAUUUCUUAAACUUGGCCCUUGCCAGAAUCAUUCUUGCGGGUACCUUCGUCAAGGUAUCCCACUGAGACAGCCAAGGCUGUUAAAUGUCCCAUACCCAUAAACAUGUUUUCGCAUCUGACACACAGCCGUUCCUUGGCGUUGGCUGAGUCUCACUCUCAAGUGGUGGCUCGAACGUGAGGUGCACUCGAAUCUUACCUCAAGAGAUACUUCAUCCAACAUCUCUCCCCAGAGGUAGGUAUAUAGUUGGGUUACCGUGCCCCUCUCAUAGGCAGUCCACGGAAACCCCCACCACUGCAGUGACCGUUUAAUAUACCACAAGACCCAUAAAAUUUUCAGUAGCAUAAUAUGGCGAAUAAAAUUUAAUCCAGUCUAUCAAGAUUAAUCCAAAACUGUUCAUAUAUGUCAUGUCAACCCCAAAAAUUUAGCCAUCAUGUUACCAUAGUGUCAUAAGCCACAAUUUCAAUAACAUAUAAAAUCAUAAAUUCAACACAGUCUCCAUAUACUCGAUUUUUCCAAAACAAUAUUUAAUUUCAAAACCAGUAUAAAUCUCAUUUUUAUUAAAAAAACAUUUUAAUUGGAAAACAUAAUAUUUUAUAAUUUAAACUCACCAUUCAAUAAAAGCAUCAAACAAGUAUAAUUACUCUAGAGAUUUAAGAUGAUAAAUUGUCCACUCACAGUACUAGGAGUAGAAAUACUCCAAUUUUCAGUCCGCGGGUACAGUCCUUUACCCGUAUCUAAUGGCUCACCACCUAGCCAUAAUCCAUGACACAUAUUCUAAUUAAAUUGUGUCUAACAGUUAUAAGCUAUUUCAAGCUCGAUAUAUAUGCAUGAUAUGAAAAUGAAAAAUACACGAGUAGCCAUCUAGACCCGGUAUUGGCCUAAGUCGAUUUUUCAUCCGAUAAAUUGGCCAAUGCGUCCAAUUUCACUCCAACUUGCUCCAUUUUUUUCCCAAUCCCUCAAUUCACGAAACACAAACUAAUUAACACAGAAUUAGGCAAAAUUUAUCUUCACUUUUCUUCUUAGAACUUUUGGCCAACAAUGGUACACUAACUCCAUGAUUUUUUCUACUUAAUUUUCUCUCCAUGAUUCAUUAAUUCCUACACAAAAAACUAUUAUUUCUUAAUCAAAUCACUUAUAAUAACAUCUCAUUCUUCCUCAUUAUUCACUUAGAGAAUUCGGCUAUUGAUGGACACCAAACUUUUGGUGGUUUUCUUCACUUGUUUUCAUGCUACACAUCAUUAAUCACCUAAAAACACUAACAUACCUAAAAAUCAAACCAAUCCAAGAUCAUUCUCUCUCCAUACCCAUUUUGACCAGCCAUGAAUUCACCAUGAAAGCAUGCUUUUCAACCAUGAAAAUUAAGGGAAAAUGCAUAGGAAAAAUAGUUCAUAAACUAAAAUCAAGAAAUUUCACCUUUUUCCACUUGAUUUUCUUGAAAAUCCACACUUUUCUCUUGAAUUUCUUUCCACCUAGGGUUUGUUCUUCUUUUCCCCUUUGUUUUCUUGCCAAAGCUGACCCUUAUGAGAGAGAAAUGGUGGUGUGGGCUGAUUUUUAUAGUUAAAUAAUAUAAUAAUUUAAACUUGCCACAUGGCAUUCCAUGAUUGGCCCAUUUUUUUAAAUUCUUAUCUUUUAAGAUUUAAAUCUCCACCACACAUUUUUCAAGGGUCAAAAAUGAUGAUGGGUGAAGACCUUGUGCUGGAAAAAUGCUCUCGGGGUGCAAAAUUACCAUUUUGCCCCCGAAGUGACAAAAUUACCAUUUCACCCAGGUACUCCAAAUUAUACCGAAAUUAAAAUUUUUUACUUCUAAACCUCAAAUCAUACUCCAAUAAGUCAAAUGGGGUCAAAAAAUCUUUUUUAAAAAUUUUAUUUUUGUCCCCAGGUGAUAAAUUACCAUUUUACCCUUAGAUAGUGAAAAUUUUGGUUUGACUCCAAAUUGAUCCUCAAACUCCGAAUUACCAUUUUGAGUCAUCCCUGGACUGUGAAACUCUUAAUUUCACCUUAAAAUUUCUAUUUGAACUAGUUCGAGGCUUAAUCGACUUAAUGGUACCAUUAGGGGCAAUAUCGUCUUUUAACAAUUUCUCGAACUUCCUAAAUAUGCAAACAUUCUAUUGAGCAUGUAAAUAACGUCGUAAUUAUUUUAUAGAACAGGGUUUGACAAGAAUUGUUUUAUAAAAAUAUCAGAGGUAUCUCAUAUAAAGCCUAUGUUUAUAGUUUUGGAAUAAUGUUAAUGGAAAUUAUGGGAAGGAGAAAAAAUUUAAAUGCCUCUACCUAAUAUUCAAGUCAAAUUUAUUUUCCAUCAUGGAUAUAUGAUGGAUUAGAUGAAGGAGAUAUCAUGGAGCUUGGAGAUGUGACAAAAAUUGAAAACAAAAUUAUGAGGAAAAUGAUAAUGGUAGCCUUAUGGUGCAUACAGAUGAAACCCAUAGAUCGUCCUUCAAUGAGUAAUGUCUUAAAGAUGCUUGAAAGUGAAGUUGAGAUCCUUGAAAUGCCUCCCAAGCCUUCUUUUUCUCGAAAUGUCAACUAAAAAUAGUAAGAAUUCUCACCACACACGCGACAAUCAGCCUUCCUCAACUACCUUGUGAUAUUCGUCAUUGGGACUACUAGGAUUUGACCUCAUGUUCAAAUUAGAAAAUAAUCAAUAAAUUAAAAAUAUAAUGCAACGAAAAAAUAAAUUAGUAUUUAAUCAUGAAACAGUCGAAUCUUACAAUAUCAAUGUUUGUGCUUUUCAUGUAACUUUCAAAUUAAUUAUAAACAUUCAUAAGUUUAAGAGUUACAAAUCUUGCUCCAUAUAUGGUAAUCAAGAGCCAAUUAAAUCCAAAAUCUUUGUUUCUUCACCUUUGGGAUUUGUCAAAUCUUCAGCCACCCAAGUGUUUGGCCUUUAACAGUAAUCCACACAGUGACCGAAUAUGACCUUCUCAAAGGUAGGAUUUUUUACUUGUGCUGGCAAGUUUUGUUUCAAAAAAAAAAAAAAAACCAAAAGUUCUUGCUAAAUCUUAUUUUUAUCAGACAAAAAAAAUAAUUUUUCUUUUCUUAUUUUAUGAAGCAACUGAAAAGUGGUUGGCGGCUUAGAGUUUUAGUUUGCUAAUAUAAUAUAUUUAUAUAACCGAAUUAAGUUGUAACCCUAAAAACAAUAGUUGUAUUUUAAUUUAAUUAGGUCUCUAAGAACUUAAUUAAUUUUGUACUUUAUUUUGGUCUCUUUCAAUUAAGUCCAACUUAAUUAAUUAUCCUCAUUUAAUCCCAAUCAUGUUACUUAAUGUGUUUGACCCAUUAGGCUUCUAACAUGUUGGCAAUAAAUAUAAAUAAUAAUCAAAUAUCAAUUUGAUAAUUAAUUUAUAUUUAUAGAUCAUAAGCGGCAUUUAGCAAUGUAUCGUGACCACCUAAAUGUUAGAGAGUUAAUUAAAGAAUUUGACAAAGCUUUUCAGUGAUAAGCCUCUUAGUAUAAUACAGUCCUUUCAUCAAAUAUCUCGGAUAUGUCAUUAAGCAUGGCUCAGUGUCUACUUAUAACAUUCGAUAUUAGUUCUCAUAAUUCAUGAUUAACUUUAUGAAUUUAGGAAACUAACUUUUCUCAAAUUCGUCAUGCUUUGGCCAAAGACUUUAUACAAGUUAAUCAAGAAUUGAGAACAAGUGAGAUACAUCCCCUCAUAUCACUUGGGGUAAUAAAUCCUCUCUUGACCACUCAUUCACCUUCGCAUGCUUCAUGGCAUAUCCAAAAGAGUACUUUUCAUUAAUGGGCCAGAGGCAUAAGGCGUUUUUAAGAAUGGUCUUCCUUAUAAUUUUAUCUUUUUUUAGCCAAGAGAAAAAAAAUUGGACAAAAUUAUCCUUAAUGAAACCGACCCAUUCACUAGGCUCCACACCUCAACCCGAAACCUAUUAACGGGUUAAGUAUGUUUAGGUUUGCGCCACAAACUGACUCAUAUUUUUUGAGCUUUCCUUACUAGACUAUUCAUCUCUAGAGUAUUCCUUACCAGAAAGAAAAACGUUUAAGUAUUGUGAGCAUUUUAGAGUAGUUUUUGAUACACGAAGAAAACUUGUGAGCGUUUUGAGCAUUUUUAAACAUUUUAGAGUGAUUUUUGAUAUAUGAAGAAAAACUUUCGAACAUUUUGAGCAUUCAUAUUUGUUAAUUAUGUUGUUAAAUAAAAUAUGGUGUAUCGUUUGAAGUUGUUGAUCUUGUUAAAUGGAAUUCAGUAGUUUUGGUGAUUUUUGAGAAUUAUGUGACUACUUUUUAGGCAUUGCGUGACUGACUUUGGAUAUUACGUGACUGACUUUGGGCAUUACGUGACUGAUUUUUGAUAAGGUAUUGCGUGACUAGUUUUUGAUAAGGCAUUGCUGACUAGUUAAUAGGCAUUACGUGACUGACUUUGAGUAUUGCGUGACUAGUUUUUGAUAAGGCAUUGCGUGACUAGUUUCUAAUAAGGCAUUGCGUGACUAGUUGAUAGGCAUUGCGUGACUAACUUUGGGCAUUGUGUGCCUAGUUUUUGAUAAGGCAUUACAUGACUAGUUUCUGAUAAGGCAUUGCAAGACUAAUUUAUAGGCAUUGCGUGACUUGUUAGUAAGGCAUUGCGUGACUUGUUAGUAAGGCAUUGCGUGACUUAUUAGUAAGGCAUUGCGUGACUAGUUUGUAGGGCAUUGUGUGACUUAGGCAUUAGUUAAAAAUCAGUCACGCAAUAUAUAAAAACUAAUCACGUAAUGCCUAAAACCAAUCAUGUAAUGACUAAAAACUAGUCGUGCGGUGAUUAAGUCACGCAAUACCUAAAAACCAGUAAACUCAAUUUUUGGUUCUAUGAAUAAACCAAUAAACUCAAGAACCUAAAACACAUAUUUUUUUUUUGCUAAGCCAUAAAAUUGUGCAUUUCAUAAAAAAUAGAUUACAAAACUCCAUAACCCUCUAAAACAAGAGAAAAUAUAUCCCUAUCGGGAGGUCUUGCUCACUCCCUUUAUCCAAAAACAAAAUAUACCCUCUUUACAAAAUAUUUUCUGAACAAUUUCAACUCAAAAUCCCUAGCAAACAUGCUUAACAAUCAUCCUAAUCCCAGACACAAUAAAACUGUGAACCACCAUAAAACCCAUCAAACAUGCUUUAGCUGUUCUUUCUCCAUAAGCAAAAUCACUGCCUGCAAAUAGCAAAAUCGUUGUUCAUCGCCCUUAAGAACCCCAAGAUCAACCAUCCAAAAAAUUAAAAUAAAAUAAAAAAGAGCUUGAUGUCAUAUCUACGAAUUGGAUGGCGAGAUAGACAUAUUUAAGCAGAGAGAGAAAUCAAGAUUUAAUUUUGAAAUUUUUAUCUAGAUGGCGAGGGAGAGAAAACUGAAACUAUUUUAAUCUGUCUGAAAUAGUUUAAAGGAUAUUAUUGUCAAGUCAUAGCAAAAAUUGACCAAAAAUAGUUAAAAUUAUAAAAAAAAUGAUAUUUUUGAAUUGAGCUUAUGAGGAAGGUUAUUUCUCACAAUUUCCUCUAUCCAAAAACAAUUUGUUUAGGCAUCUAGUCGUUUCCAAACCCGUUGGAGUGAAAUCAAAGUAUGUCAUUUCUUAUACAAGAUGACCUAGUGUCUCAAGUCUGAAGACUGGUUGCAUGACUAUCACAUGAGAAUAUUUUUCAUAGACAUUUGAGUGAAAUACCAAAUAGAGUUCUCAUAGCGGGUCAUGUUCAGUGAACUUAUUCUUUAACAAGCACCUACAUAUUAUCCUCAAGUAUCCCUUAUACUUCAAUCUAUAAAAUCGAUUGCUUACUUCCCAAGUAAGGAUGCUUAAUAUGUACCAGUCUUUGAGCAUUGUCAAUGCCCUGUCUUGACAAUACAAUGACCAAGAACAAUUUUAGAAACAUGGCUUUGAUGCAUAGUGAUCUCAUAAUUGUAACAACUUUACAAUUCUCUUGCAAGGCUUUUAUGUUCCAUUGGCUUCAUCAAAUUAGUACUUAAUAACUCCUUAUUAUUACACUAACAUGAAGGAAAACCUCUAUCACAUAUAAUUAUGAGAUUAAAUAUGCAUUAAAUGACAAUAUAUAUUCCUUGACUAAUAUAAUUAGCUCAAGGUUAUAUACCAAUAGGGACGCCACUCAACAUUGUGAUCUUACUAAAUCUGAUUAUUUUUUCUGUAUUUAGAUUUUUGAGUGGUACAUAGUUUUGUUUCCACCAAGAUCUAGCAGGCAGUGUUUGUAUUCUCUCUACUACCUUUGUUCGUUUUGUUUCUGCUACUUUUCUAUAUCCCUAUAUCUGAUCUCUGAUGAAAUAAAUCAUUUCCUCACUUGCAAAAAAUUUGCAAGAAAAUGUAAAUUUUAUUUUUCCCUUAUUUUAUACGAAGAAAAUAUGUUUUAUCUUAUAUUUAUAUUUUUAUGUAUGUAUGUAUGUAUCUAUAGUAUUAGUUGUUUAAACUUUUUAGGUGCAACUAAAAUACUUCUAACAAAAGAUUGUAUAGAGCAGCCAAAUUUGUAAUAAAAUAUUUUUAAUAACACAAGUUAACAAAAUUUUAAAUGCUAAAGUUAUUGUAGUGUGUUUUUUCCCUUCGGUUCUAGACUCUAAGCUAAUUGAAUUUUCAAAGAAAGAUUUGCUUUCAUUUGCAGCUACAGAAUGAUAAGCAGAACAACCAAGAUAAGAUUAUCUUAGUUCUUAGUUAAUCUUUCUUUUUAAACUUUUUUAUACAUAUACCAAAACAUGUAAAAUAUGGGCUAAUUGGUCCUUUUAGACUUAAUAGGUUGACGGUGAAAUUUUAAGACUACACAAUGAAUUUAUAGGAUUGCUCGAGUGAUUUUGUUUAUAUCUUAUUGGAGGUUUAUAUUAAUCUCUUAACUCAGACAAAUUACAAAGAUUCCUUUUCUGUCAGUUUCAUUAUCAAUCAGUUGCAUACGUUGUUUCUUCACUUAUUUCUAUUUGAGUGUAAAAUCAGCUAAGAGCUUUGAUUGGCUUUAGUUAGUUGACUUGACUGACUUUCGAAUAAAGACAAGUGAGCAAGAAUAACCGUACAUUUUCCCCAUGAGAUUUUCUAUGUGAAAAAAGCCAUACAAGUCUUAGAGGUGAGUCUUGACAAGGAUAACUCUCCAUUCCUCAUUAGUUCAUAUCCUUGCUACAUCCUUGGUGGAAAAAGCCUACCACUCGGUAGAAGAUUUGUUGGAAUCUAUACUAAAAAAGAUAAAGCAAAAUACACGAAAAAGUAAUAAAUAUUUAACAGUUAAUAACAAAAGAAAUAAGAAAGAGUGUUGAAUGUGAAACUUGGUUCAAAACACGUUAUGAAAGGCAUUGAUUUUAAAGUAGAUUUCCGUUGUUACCUCAGUGCAAAUAACAAUCAAUGAUGUCUUACUCCAAAGAUACAAGAACCACUCAAAGAUAUUCUAAUGUGCACUCAAAUAGAAAAUCUGGUAAACUUGUAAAUCUCUUAACUAUUCUUGAAGGAAUUUAGAAUGAAAAAAAAUAGAGUUUUUGGAAAUAUAAAAUGCUUUAAAUGAAUUUUUCAAAAAGAAAACCUAGGUAUUUAUAGAUAGUGAACCAUCACUAAUGUAUCUCUUCAUUUAGAUGCAUUUACUCAAAAGUGAACAAAUGUGUCCUUUUAUAAGUACAUACUUUUCUACAAUCAAAAGUUAUACCUCUUUCAACAAACAUAUUAAAUUUUGAGUCACUAAAAAUAAAAUAAAAAUUAAAAAUCCAACAAGAAUUGGUGUACAUCUCCCUUAUUAUACAUGCACCUCAAUAUAGGAUCAUAUAUCUCUUAAAUUGUAGGAUGAAAAUGAACUCUUCGGUUUACAUUGGUGCUUCUCAUUCCACCAAUCGGUGUUCCUCUACAUCUUUUGUUUCUUCGGUAUUUUACAUUGUUAAUGGGACAAUUUGAUAAAAAGAUCAAAAUAUAAUUCUUUGAAAAUAUUAUGUACAAUAUACAUGAAAAAAUAUUACGAAUUUAAUUUCUUUAAUUAUUGCGAGAGUUAUAAAAAUAAUUGUAGAAGCAAGUCUAAUGACCAUAGGCUUUAUUUGAAUAGAUAUUUUUCUUCUUUUUCGUGUCCAACUGGUCGUAACCUGUUUUCAAAUUUAAAUAAAUAAGAAAAAAGUAUCCAAGACUUUGAGUAUUUCAGAUAGUUAUUCACGAGCUUCACUAUCUUCAUGCAACAAAUUUGAAUUUUUAUUUUGGAAAGACAAUUUUGAAGUUUAGAUAUGCGUAAUUUUUUUUUUUUACAAAGUGAAAAUGUACAUAUAAAGUACAAGGAAAGAUAUACUUGUAUCUAUAUAAAAUUAAAUUAGUUAAACAGUCUUUUAUAUUUUUUAUACAAUUUAUAUUUUGUUAAUCCAACUGUUGAAAUUGUUAUAUUCAUAUAAAUCAUGCAUAACAGAUUUCAAAUUAAUAAAAAUGAUUAACUAUUUAUUUGAUAAAAAUAAAAUUCUAAUUGUGAUAUAAAAUAUAAAGAAAAAUAUACUAAGAAAAUAAUUGAGAGAAGAAUUGAGAAAAAAACUUUGGGUUCAUUUCUCAUGAGAAAAGAACUUCUGGUUCAUUUCUCAUUAUUUCUGAUUAUUAUUGAUUGUGAUUUUUUCAUUGAGUGCAAAGCUCUAUUUACAUUGAAUUGACUUUGAAACUUUACAUAAGUGAUAAGUAAAAGUUGUUAAAUCUAACAAAAAUAUUAAUUUCUUAGGAAGUUAUAUAAAAGUGUAAAACUAAUUAUUUUUACAUAUAUAAAUUAUUAAUUUAUCAUGAUUUAGGCUUUUGUGUGCGAUUUUUUCAUAUUUAACUGUAGUUGAAAAUAUGCAAUCUUUGAUAAUAUAUGCAUGUAAUAUUUUUGUUGGUGCAAAGGGGGUUUAUACGGUAUUCAAAAGAAUUAGCAAAAUUGACUUCAAGGUGAGCCUUUCAAAUAGACGUCUAUCUUUAAGACUUAUUUUGCCCCUACCACUUGAUAUGUAAAGGGGAAUAAUGCGAAUAGUCUCAAAGAUACAAUGAAGCAAACGUCUAACUUUCAUAUUGUACUUACGAAGUAGAUUGCUGGAUACACCCAAGGAUUUGCAAAGUUGCUUGGCCUUAGAACCAACUUUCUACAGCAAGUAGAUUGUAAGGAAUUCGGAAUAUCUUGUAGAUGAUGGAAACUUAAGUAUUUAUAUUUAUAAUAAAACACAACACUUAUCUUGCUCUUGACUUUUCUACUCUUGUCUUGUUUUUGAUUGUUUGGUGUGUUAAAAUGGUUGGCAACAAGCCCUUUAUAUAAGCUUCCAAGUGUAUUUUCUUCCAAGACACAACCCUUUCAUAAAGAUACCUUUUGUCUAAAAGGUAUCUCUACAUUUUUGCCAACACAACUUUUAGAUAAAGGUAUUGUUUCAAUAGUCACCUUACAAAAGAUAGCUAUUCAUUCCAUAAGGUAUAACCUUUGAGUUAUAACUUGAACAAUAACUUUUCACAUUUAACUUUUGAGCAUGUGGUGUCUUUUCAAUAUGUCUCUUAACUUUUGGAUGUCAUUUUUCAAAAAGACACAACUUUUCACAUGAAAACUUGCUUAUAUUCCAAUAGACACAUUAUGUCACUUUUCGUGACAUAAAUUUUGAGCUAAUGAUAGCUUUUCCAUCAUGUGACAUAACCUUUAAUUUUGAAAAAAUACCAACAAUCCCCCACCAUUUUCAAAAUUUUCAAAUACCAAUAACUUUGGGAAACUUAUGCAUAAAUGAAGGUAUCCUGCAGAUUUGAACCUUCACUUAGUGAGUGUGGUUGGUUCUAGUCUGAAUUGAGUGGUUGACCAAGCAUUGAACCAUCGAUUCUUCAUUGACUAGUCGGGUCACUAAACACACACAAGCUUCCUUGCACACAUUGUAUCUAGUUUUGACAAUACGUUUUAUGGCCUUCUGUUUUGUAUCCAUUCAUAAGUGCUGUCAGAGUCAAGCCUUUAACUCCUAGAAGUGGCCACAUUUCCACUCAUAUAGGUAGCCCCCAUCGAAAAUACCCCAUAAUUAUAGUACUUCAAUAUAUACAUGUUAUGGGUUUAUUAAGAACUUUCGUUCAACCUUACUUUACACAUUACAGGAACCAAGCACUAUACACCUUGGGAUGGAAAAUAUAACUUAGUGCUUGCAGUCACCAUGUGGUAGAAUGGUAAGUACCCGAGACUUGCAAGUCGGCUACAAGCUUCGAGGUGAUUUCCCACCAUUGGCAACUUAGUUGAUAAGCUUGAGACCUAUUCCUCUUGAGGUCUUUAUAACCAUAUCCUUUUUCAAACCUUUAGUAAAUGGAUCUACUAAAUUUUCACAGACCUCACAUAACUUAUAGUGACUAUACCAUCACUAAUUCUUUGUCGUCUUACAAUGCUAUGUCGAAGUCCAAUAUAUCGACUCUUCCAUUGUAAGCUUGAUUAUAUGCUUUUGAUACAGUUGAUUCAUUGUCACAAUGUAUCAAGAUUGGUGCCGUUGGUUUAGGCCACUACGAAAUUUGAUAGAGUAAAUCUCUCAACCAUUCCGCUUCUUGGGUGGCAAAUGCUAAGGCUAUAAAUUUAGUCGCCAUGGUGGAGUCUGCUUGACAAGAUUGUUUCUUAGAACCCCUAGAAACAGCACCCCCACCAAUUGUAAAAAUCCAACCAAUCGUGGAUAUGUACUCUAUUCUAUUUGAGUUCCAACUUGCAUUUGUAUACCCUUCUAAAACCGAAGGAAAACCUGAAUAGCAGAUGCCAUAAUUCUUUAUACUCUUUAAGUACCUUAGAACUCUAUGAACAACAUACCAAUGUUUUUUACUCGGAUUACUUGUAAAUCAGCUUAGCAUCCCAACCGCAAAAGCAAUAUCCGGCCUUGUACAGACCAUUGCAUACAUAAGGCGUUCAAUCACCUUUGCAUAUUCAUUUUGUGCUAUUGCCUUGUCUUCGUUAGGUAUUAGCCUUAGAUUAGAAUUAUAAGGCAUAGUCAUUGGCAUACAAUCUGACUUGCCAUACUUCAUUACAAUCUUUUCGAUGUAAUGAGAUUGAGACAAUGUUAGGCCAUUAUUGUCUCUUAUUAUUCUUGUACCAAGAAUAACAUCUGCCAUACCCAUAUCUUUCAUGUCAAAAUUCUUUGACAAGAACAUUUUUGUGUCUUCCAUUUGUUCCAAAUCGGUACCAAAUAUUAACAUGUCAUCUACAUAUAAACAAAUGAUGACACCUCUACCAUUAUGGAACUUACUAUAGACAUACUUGUCAAAUUGAUUAACCUUGUAGCCAUUAGCUAGCACAACCUCAUCAAACUUUUGAUACCAUUGUUUGGGUGCUUGUUUUAAUCCAUACAAGGACUUUACAAGCUUACAUACUUUCCUUUCUUGACCAGAAAAGACAAACCCUUCAGGUUGUUCCAUAUACACCUCUUCAUCUAACUCACCAUUUAGGAAUGUUGUUUUAACAUCCAUCUGGUGAAUUACCAUCUUUUAUAUAGAUGCAAGUGCUAUAAGCACUCUAAUUGUAGCUAUUCUUGCUACCAGUGCAUAUGUAUCAAAAUAAUCAACACCUUCAUUUUUUUUAAAGCCUUUGGCUACUAGCCUUGCUUUAAACUUUUCUACGGUUCCAUCAACUUUCAUUUUCUUUUUGAAAUCCACUUACAGCUUAUUGGCUUGGAACCUGGUGGAAGGUCUACCAAUUUCCAAGUUUUGUUUCCCAUUAUUGAGUCCAUCUCAUCUUGUAUUGUUUCUCUCCAAAAUGAAACAUCAUGAGACUUCAUUGUUUCAUAAGUUUGAGGAUCACCUUCACCUUCUACAUGAAAGCAGUAAGGUAAGUAUUCACAUGUUUCCUCUCUUGUACCUUCUACUAAGUACAUGAGGAAAUUGGAUCCAUAUGUUUUUGCUUACUUAAUUCUUUUACUUCUUCGAAGCUCAAUAGUUUUCUCAUCAUUUUUUGAAGGCUUAUCACAUUUUGUUACUAGGUCUUUGGGUCUUGGAAUUGAAUUGAACCUUGUUUCAUCAAAGAUAACGUCCCUCGAGUCUAUGACUGUAUUAACAGAAUAUGAAUAAUUGGGCUCUAUCACCAUGAAACGAUAUGCUUUACUAUGUCCAGGAUAUCCUAUAAAUAUACAUUCAAUUCCUUUUUCACCCAAUUUCCUUUUUUUUUUUGCUCUGAAACUCUUACCAUGGCUCGACAUCCCCAAACUCUUAAAUAAUUAAGAUUUGGCUUUCGCUCUUUCGAUAGUUCAUAAGGAGUAGUUUUGCUCCUUUUGUUUGAGAUUCUAUUUAGUAUAUGGCAAGCCGUUAAUAAGGCUUUGCCCCAAAAUCCUUUUCCCAAACUUGAAUUAGAAAGCAAAGCAUUGACCAUUUCCGUAAGAACUCGAUUUUUACGUUCUGCUACACCAUUUUGUUCCGAUGUGUAUGUAGUGGUAGUCUCGUGAAUAAUUCCAGUGGACUCAAAAUACUUGGGAUCAUAAUAUUCACCUCCUUUAUCAUUUCGUAAACAUUUAAUAAACAAUUCACAACACAAUUCAACUUCUCUUUUAUAAAUUCUAAAUUUCUCCAAUGUUUCAUCUUUAGUAUGCAAUAAGUAAACAUAGCAAUAUAUAGAUAAGUCAUCAAUAAAUGUUACGAAGUAUUUCUUUCCACUGAUAGAAGGAGUACUAUGCAUGUCACAAACAUCAGAAUGUAUUAAUUCAAGUAAUUUUGUGCUUCUUUCUACCUUAGGAAAUGAACUUCUUAUGAUUUUAGUAACCAUGCAUGUCUUGCACAUAUCAUUAUUUUCAUCAAUGUUGGGUAUUAAUUCUAAUUUAGCCAUAUCAUGCAUUCUUCUAUAAUGAACAUGACCUAAUCUAUUAUGCCAUAGAUUAGUUGGGAUUGCUUUACUAUCAUGAACAUUGAACGAGGCAUUAAUAUAAGUAGAACUAGUAAGAUUCUUAUUGACAUUAAGCUUGAACAUGUUUUUACAAUAGUAUCCACUUCCCACAUAAUGUCCACCUUUUGUAAAGAUGAACUUAUCCUCUUCAAAUAUUAAUUUGAAACCAUACUUAUUCAACAAGCCACCUGACACAAGGUUCUUUCUAACUUCUGUAACAUAAUAGACAUUGUUUAGUACAAGUAUCUUUCCAGAAGUAAACAUAAGUUCCACAGUGCUUUUUCCUUUCACUUGUGUAGUGGAGGAAUUUCCCAUGUAUAGUACAUUUCCAUUAUUAACUUCUUUCAAAGUCUUAAAAAAGCUUUUGCUGUUGCAUGCAUGAUUAGUUGCACCAGUGUCAAUCCACCAUGCUCCAUCAUCUUGGAGAAGAUUGACCUUAGAAACCAUAGUCAUAAAUUUGUUGUGGUUCACACCUUGUGUCUUGUUUCUCAAAAGUCUACAUUCCGCCUUAAAGUGACCAAGUUUGUUACAAUGAAAACAUGGCCCUUUUUUGUUCCUUUUAAACUUAUGACAUUUGUCAUUCAUACCCACGAAAUGUUUUCUUUUGUUGCAUAAAAAUGGCUUGUUUAAUGGUUUGUGUUCCAUCACAUGGACCUUUAAAGUCUCAAGAUUCUUUUCAUUAGAAUCUUUUUCAUCUUGCUUGACUUCUUCUUGCUUACAAUAAUCUUCUUCUAUUUGAAGAUGAUUACCAAGCUCUUCGACAGACAUAUCCUCUUUUCUAUGUUUUAGGAAUUUCUUUGUGUCUCUCCAUGAAGGGGGAAGUUUAUCAAUUAUUGAAGAUACCACAAUAGCUUCAUCUAUUUUAAGACCAUAUUGCUUAAAGCUAUUGAGAAUGUGUUCAAGUUCAUGCAAUUGUUCCAUAACAAAAUGAUUAUCAACCAUUUUACAAUUAUUGAAACAACUAACCAGGAAUUGUUUGCUGCUUGCAUCUUCCGUCAUGUAUCUUGCUUCCAACUUGUCCUAAAGUUGCUUUGCACUAGCUUCGUUCUGGUACGCAUCGAACAAAGCAUCCGGCAUUUCAUUAAGAAUGUGUCCCAUGCAUAUGUAGUCAUCAUUAUCCCAUUUUUGCCUUGAACAAGUUCUUUUCACGGAUUAUUCACCAUCUUCUUCACUUGGUCGUGGUGUAUCUAGAACAUAAGCGACUUUAAGAGUUAUGAGUAGGAAGUGUAUCUUUUCCAGCCAUCAAAUGAAGUCUCCUCCAUCAAAGCAAUCUAACUUGACAAUGUUGGUAGUUAUCUCUUUGAGUGAAGCCAUUUUGAAUACCACGAAAAUAAGUCUUAAAACUAUUGGUGCGAAGGGGGUUUAUACAAUAUUCAAAAGAACUAGCAAAAUUGACUUAAAAGUGAGCCUUUCAAAUAGACGUCUAUCUUUAAAACUUAUUUCGCCCCCACUAUUUGGUAUGCAAAGAGGAAUAAUGUGAAUAGUCUCAAGGAUACAAUAAAGCUAAUGUCUAACUUUCAUAUUGCCUCACGAAGUAGACCGCUAGAUACACUCGAGGGUUUGCAAAGCUUUUUGGCCUUAGAACCAACUUUCUACAACAAGUAGAUUGUAAGGAAUUCAGAAUAUCUUGUAGAUGAUGGGAACUUAAGUGUUUAUGUUUAUAACAAAACACAACACUUAUCUUGCUCUUGACUUUCUGCUCUUGUCUUGUUUAUGAUUUUUUAGUGUGUUAAAAUGAUUGGCAACAAACCUUUUAUAUAGGUUUUCAAGUGUCUCUUCUUCAAGGAUACAACUCUUUCAUAAAGACACCUUUUGUCUAAAAGGUAUCUCUACAUUUUUGCCAACACAACUUUUAGAUAAAGGUAUUAUUUCAAUAGUCACUUUAUGAAAAGAUAACUAUUCAUUCCAUAAGUUAUAACCUUUGAGUUGUAACUUGAAACAAUAACUUUUCAUAUUUAACUUUUAAGCAUGUGGUGUCUUUUCAAUAUGUCUCUUAACUUUUGGAUGUCAUUUUUCAAAGAGACAACUUUUUACAUGAAAACUUGCCUAUAUUCCAAUAGACAUAUUAUGUUACUUUUCGUGACAUAACUUUUGAGCUAAUGAUAGCUUUUUUGUCAUGUGACAUAGUCUUUAAUUUUGAAAAAGCACCAACAAUUUUUGUUCAAAAUAUUACCAAAAAAUUAUAUAUAACUGUGAAAUCUAUAAAGCACCCGAGCAUUUAGCUCAUUGGUUGGAGUAUGAUCUUCCUGUCUAAAGAGUAGGGUUCGAAUCCCCCCUCUCCCAAUUAUAAAAAAAAAAACUGUGAAAUAUGUAAAAGUUCUAUGCAAAUGGAUUUCUAACAACAAAAGUUAAUGAAAUAAAUAAAUGCAAAUUUAUUAUAGCGUGUUUUUUCCACUUGUUCAAAGGAAGAUUUGAUUUCAAUUGCAGCCACAGAAAUAAUUAGCAAAGCAAUAAAGAUAACACUAUCUUAACUCUUUUUUAAUCUUCCUCGUUAAACUGUUUUAUACAUAAUAUUUAAAAAAAUGACUUUUUUAUACUUACAAAAAAUAAAUAUAAGAUAUGGAAAUUGAUUUUUUUUUGAAGAGGAAAUUGAUCUAUUUUAUUUAAAUUAUAUUUUAUAUAUUUGCGAUGAAAUUUUGAAAUUCCAAAUUUUAUAACAUUAUUUAAGCGAUUAAAUAUAUAUAUAUAUUUAUUUAUUUAUUUAUUGAGGUGUUAUAUUAAUCUCCCUACCGUACAGAUAUACUUGGAUGAAUUAGAAAGAUUUCUUUUCUGUUAGUUUCGCUACCAAUUGGUCGGACAGAUUUUCUUCUUUCUUGUUUGAUUGCGUGGAAAAUCACCCAUCAGUCAUUGAGUUCUAUGAUAGGCUAUGUGUUAAACGUGUUCUGCGGUUUGGGAUUUAAUGAGUUGACUGACUUUUCAAAAGACGACAUGAAAAGAAUUAUUAUUUAAAUAUAACAUAUUUAAAUAAAUAUAUAUAUUUAUUUAAGAUAUGGAGAUUGAUCAAUUUUAUUUAGAAUUAUUAUUUUGUAUAUUUGCAAUGAAAUUUUGAAAUUCCAAAUUUCAUAACAUUAUUUAGGUCAUAUUAUAUAUAUAUAUAUAUAUAUAUUAUGUUAAGGGGUUACAUUGAUCACUGUGCGGAUAUACUUGGAUGAAUUGCCCAUGAGUGCUAUGGUAGGCUUUGUGUUAAAUGUGUUUUCUGGUUUGGGUUUAAUUAGUUGACUGACUUUUCAAAAGAAGACUUGGUUUUAACAAUAAAUCCAAGAUAACAUCAUCAUAGUGCGUCUUCACAAACUAAGCCCUUAAUCCCUUUCUCUCGCGCUGAAAUUUUAGGAUGCUAAGAGCAAAACUUCCAUUAUUCGGCCUUCUGGCCCUUGCUUUAUCUCUGUUCCCUGAUGCAUGCAUCGCUAGAGGCAAACACAAGCACUGUGGCUCUUCUUUCUGUGGAAACAUUAACAUCACUUACCCUUUUCGAUUAAAAAGUCAGCCUCGUAGUUGUGAUUACAAUCGUUAUGAACUAGUAUGCGAGAAUAACCGCACCAUUUUCCCCAUGAAAUAUGGGAAUUUCUAUGUCCAACACCUCUCUUAUAGUGACAAAACCAUUCAACUUUUAGACGUGAGUCUCGGCAACGACAACUGCUCCAUUCCUCAUAGUUCCUAUCCUUGGUACACCCCUUUCGCGAAAGAACUACAUCUCUAUCGAGCCACCACUGAAUAUAGCGUCAUGUAUCUCAUAAAUUGCACGAC
rnacentral:lncRNA from 1 species